rnacentral:lncRNA from 1 species
CCACAUCGUGCUCAAGACAUCGCCGGCAAGCACCGGGCUCACGCUCGCCACCCGCGCCGACAACCUCUACUGGGAGGGCUUCAAGAGCAGCGACGGCACCUGGUGGGAGCUCACCCCCGGACUCAUCCCCGGCGCCACCCACGUUGGGUUCGGCGGCACGUAUCGCGACCUCCUCGGCGACACCGACAAGCUGACCAACGUCGCUCUCGGCCGGCAGCAGAUGGCGGACGCGGUGACCGCGCUCUACGGGCGCACCAAGGCCGACAAGACCUCCGGCCCGAAGCAGCAGCAGGCGAGGGAGGCGGUGACGACGCUGCUCCUCAUGGUGCACGAGGCCACGCGGUUCCAGACCGUGUCGGGGUUCGUGGCUGGAGUGCUGCACCCCAAGGAGAAGAAGAGCGGGAAGAUCGGCAAUGAGAUGAAGGCCCAGGUGAACGGAUGGCAGGACCUGUCCGAAGCGCUGCUGAAGACGGACGCGAAGCCCCCGCCGGGAAAGGCGCCAGCGAAGUUCACGCCGAUCGAGAAGAUGGGCGUGAGGACGGCGGAGCAGGCGGCCGCCACCCUGGGGAUCCUGCUGUUCGUCCAGGUGCCCGGUGGGAUGACGGUGGCCCAGGCGCUGGAGCUGUUUCAUAAGAGUGGGGGGAAAUAGGUAGUAGUUGUGCAGGUAUAUCUGCAUGGGUAUUGUACAAGUCGAAUAAACAUGUCACAGAGUGACUGAAUGAUAUAAAUAAAUAAAUGUCACAGAGUCAGUGAAUGAUAUGAAUAAAUAAACAUGUCUAGUUUAUAUUGGGCCCAACCAUAGAAUUGCUAUCCAACAUAUGUUUUGCAUAUGCACAUAUUAGAAGCGCGAACUAUGUUCAUCCUUUUAGACUCCCAGGGGCUCAUUUGGUUGUUGGGGUGAAAAAACCAUGGGCAGUAAACUCCCCUAGGGGAUUUCCCUGCUCAUAUGAGAUCCUCCUCCUGCCAUGUGAAAUAUCCCAUUGCCAUUUGGGCACCAAGGGAGAGUGAAGAGAGUGAAGGGAGAAGAGCAGAAGAACAGAGCGCCAAGGCGACUCAGAUCACAAGAAAAGAGACAAGGGGAGCCCAGGAGAAUUCUCCUGGAGUGCGGAGGUCGGAGCGAGCGGCCCGGGGAUUUCGGGAGGAUCGGGCCGAGAAAGCCCGUUCCACGAUGUUACCAAAUGGAUCGCCUGAAAAUCCAGGGUGUAGAUUGCAGGCGGGUUUCUCGCCUGAGGAAAGGACAGGUAUCCUGGCAGCAAUGCUACAUUCACGGACUAAUACGGGGGGUUUACGAAGUGUUUGUGACUUGUUAGAUGUUGAUUGGAUUAAGGGGGAGGAAGAGGCCCCACCCACCUGAAAAUCAGGAGGGUGAAAAAGAAUUAGAAGGAAGGGUCCGUAAUGCCCCCGUAAUGAGUCCGUGCGUUUAGCAUUUUUGGUAUCCCGGGGGAUCCAUGGUAACCAACUAGUGUACCACAAAUUCCCCUCCAGAAAAUCUACAUAUUUUAGUACUUUUUGGCCAGAAAAUUCUCACACUUACAUACACGGUUAUAUUGUUUUUCUUUAUUUAAAAGGGAGGAAAGCCCCACAUAAUGAUGCAUGCAGCCAAUUUAUUAACCAAAAGUAUGCAAACGGAGUCUAAGGGCCAGUACUGGCUCACAAAAGGAGCACAAGAACAGUAAAGAUAAAAAGAUGCCACAGCCGGCGAAAAAACAAGUUAAGAUGACUAAACACCUAGCCUAUUAUUAGUUCGCCAUUUAAAUUGGUUGGAGAUAACCCGUGCUACCGUCUCCCAAUGGUUGCACCCAGUAACCAAAAGCCCCCUAGAGUCCGCAUGAGUGAGUAACGACCACGUACGGAUCCAAGCAGUGGCUAUGUGGAUAACCUGCAAAAGUUGAUAAAGUUUUUUCCAUUAAAGAUCAUAUCACCUUUGCAGUUUCAUAUAGCCCAAAACAGUCCACAUAUCCCUAUCCGAAUAUGUCCUGCAAUAUUUGAAUCCGCUCCAUUUAGCCAUGUCCCAAAUAACGUGUUACUAUUUGAAGGAUUAAUGUUGAAGUCUAUAUGUAUCGUACGCCAUACAAGUUUGGCUUAUAUUGUGCCAUUUCAAUAUUUUAUUUGUCGAUUUUAUGUUUAUAUACAGUUGGUAUUCAUUGAAUAGGUGGAUUUCCUGGGAGAGAAGGUGCAAAGCUUCAAGGCCAGACCCCACAAGGAGUUGAUGACUCAGUAUAGCAACCCUGAUGAGACUGGGACAGUACCCCGCCGGAGACAGGGACAACGCGGUUGUUCUAGUGCCACUGGUUCCUGCGAGGGCGAGGGUUCACAUGUUUGGGGUGCUUUUUUACAAUCCACAUGUUUGGAGGUGUUAAGGGCAUCUCCAACCACGACCCAUAAAUUUUCUCCUGCAUUCGUCUGGGACAGGGGGAAGGGGCAGUCCGUGGACAUGGAUGCAGGAGGGGGCCAUCCAACGCUGCCCGAAGACAUUUCAACCCGCAUUUCAACUAGCUGGACGAAAUUCAUGUACACCGGCUCCAGGGUGGACAGCGUUGUCAUAAAGGCCAGUGGGCGUGUCGGUGCUGGUUGCGGACGUCCGGCAAUGCCACUGUGGUGGCCCUAGACGUACAACGGCAGCAGCAGAGGUGGAGCGUGCAGAUGCAAAGCAAGGGGGAGAAGGGCGCGGAGUGGAAGGAAAUGAAACCGAGAGGGUGAUUGGGUGGGCCGGGGGUGUCGGUUUCCUACAUGGCUGCUGCUGGUUUGAACUUUUUUUAUUAACUUGAACAAAAAUAUCUGUAUUUCGAAAAAUGUUGACGAAUUUGAAAAAUGUGUCUGGAUUUUAGAAACUGUUCAUUAAUUUGAAAAAAGUGAUCACAAGUUUGAAAAAAUGUUUCCUCAUUUUUGAAAAUGUUCCUGAAUUUCACAAAAUGUCCCUGCAUUUUAGAGAAUGUUCAAAAAAUUAAAAUAUGGGGCAUAUUCCUUUUAUGCUUUUACUCCUACAUUUUAUACGAAAUUGUAAAAAAUGUUAAAAAAUAGAGAAAAGAAAAAAGGAAAGAAAAAUAAAAUGGGAAGCUUAUAGAAAAAACAUAAAAGGAAAAAAAGGGUCUAUGAAGGUUCUAGUACUUUUCUAUAAACGGGGAACACACUAAAAACCUCGAACUGGGCUGGCACAAUAUAGUGCCUACAAUUGCGUGAGGGUGUGGCUUUGCUCGCUAACUGUUGACCUAUGCUGGGAUUCAGAAUUAUCGUCUUUAUCUUGCCUCUAGUGAGAUUUUUUUUCUUGAGAAUUCUCGCCCAACUUUAUUGGUGAAUCAAAAUGUUCUAGUGAGAUGGAAGAAAAACUCGUCACAAGGGAGUUCAUGGCGGCCGGCCAGUCCGGAGUUGUUGGUUUGGUUCAUUCAUUCCUUUUAUUCAUUUGGUUUCGUCUUUUUACUUUUACUUUUUUUCCUUACUUAUUUUUAUUUAUUUUUGAAAAUAUUUGACUUAAUUUCAAAAAAAUCACUGUGCAUUACAAGUUAUGGAGGUGAUGUGGAAGGUACUCGACCAAUUCAUCGCCUGAAGAUGAAGGAACUCAAGUGCAAUACAGCCGCGGAGCAGGCGUUCCAUGUCAUCCUUUGGGAUGCGGACGGCAAUGAGUUCGAGGUGCUUCAGUCGUGGUAGAAAAAGAGCGGGCGCGUCAUUAAGGGGAUGGCAGUUGAUGAACUUGGCGAGGCGCAGCAUGGGUGCGAAGCGGAGCACGGAUGUUGGCAGCGAGUGCAUAUGCCCAUUAUUAAAAAUGAGCUUCUCGAGCUGAUCUAUGGCGGGGGAUCGUAAUCACUCGUCAAGCUUGGCUCGGUCCUUUCCAUUGGAACGGAACUUGCCCGUGAUAAGGUCCCUGAUUGGGCCAUGGUGACUGCCGAGGAUCGAGGAGAAUGCAUCCAAGCUUUUGCGAUAGCCAUGGCAGAGCUCAUCAGCGUCGAGGUGGUCGACAGGGGUGAGGAGCCUUAGGGGCGCCACCAACAGGAAAGGGCGGCUGUCCUUGCCCCAUAUUUGAUUGGGGGGAGGAAUAUGAUGACUCUCAACAUAUCAUCGGGGAUGUUUUUGAUGAAGUCUAGGUCUACUGGAGUCGCUUGCGGUUCUUUCUCGACCCGCCUCCGCUUGUUGGCAGCCUCGUUCUCCACCUCGGCGGCGGCGACGGAAACCUCUAUCUCCAUAUUCACGCCAUGCUCCGGUGCACAUUGAGGACUGAGAGCGGCGUCGAGGAUGGGGUUGGAGAGAGAGGAUUGUGUGUGUGGCAAGGAUGGGGGGUGCGGCCGCUCGGGCGCGCCAUUAAUACAGACCAGUGGGAGCGAGCCGGGUGGCGGUCAAAGGUUGUCUCGCUUCCUGAUGAGCCUGCGCGGCGGACUUCUAGCAUUUCUAUACCAUCAUUUCACAGAGCGAGGCGGACGCGCCGUUAAUAUGGAGGAGUGGGAUCAAGGUGGGCGGCGGUCAAAGGGCUGGCUCGCCUCCCAGUGAGCCUGCGUGGCGAACUACUGGCACGCCUACCGUCGUUUCACACAACUACUAGCACGCCCCAUACGGUGAGUGCGUACGAAACACGCGCAUGAAUUAGAUAGUGGUAGUGAUUUUAGUUGCAAAAAUUAGAUAGUGCUAGUGAUUGUUAGCUGCAUAUUUUGACAAAUCGCAUUGUCUCUUGGCUUAGCGCCGAAGUCUGGCUUUAAUUUGCAUACCGUAUUCAAUCUGAACCGUUUGCGUUGAAGAGAUGCACAAAUCCUGUGUUAAACAGCUCGCACGCUUCCCGGUGAGCCUCUCGGUCAGCCUACGCACCGGACUGCACUCGCACGCCUCCCGUUCAGUCAAGCAGCUGUCCGCACGGCACCUCCUGUAGCCAUUAAAACCAAGACACGUGGCAUCAUGUAAAUGCUUAAGAGAACGCACACGAUUUGAAUUAUACAAACGUUUGAGAUAUUAAAGUGGCAGCUAUUUGUUUCAAAAUGCCUUUGUUGGCUGUUAUUCGAGUGCAUCUUCUCUCAAAAUGGACACCAAAAACAGCACAGCAUGUCAGUGCCAUUACAUGAUAGUAUGCCAAGUUCCAUGAAUUUCAGACGAGUUUUGGAUUUAGUAGAAUUUAGAAACAAAGUAUCUCAAUGUUUUGCCGGCAAUCAACGGUGCCCUGGUGUUUGAAAUUCAUUCCCAUUUCUUGCAUGAGACCUAAGCAUGCACCCAAGGACACAGAUUUGAUUUUUCAACCAAUUUAUAUGCAUUGAAGCAUGUGCAUGUAGUUCAAACUUGAAUUAUGCACAUAAAUGCAUCGAACACUCAACUAAUGCAUAAAAAUGUCCAAACGAACCCCGAAAAUCCCAAAAAUUGACACAACACUCCUGUUGUUCUCUGUUGAGACUAGAAAAUUUUUGAAAGCAAUAAGAGGCAGCAGAUAUUGUUUUGUCCCCUAAGGUGGGACGUUCCCUACCGAAACCAUCAGGCUUGUUGUGAGAAGCUUUGGUUUGUGAGAAGUUUAUACCCAAACCUGCCCCAAAUGGGACAAAAAAAUUACCACGGCAUGUUGAUGGCGCUCCAUGAUAGCAUGCCAAGUUUCAUGAGUUUCAUAUGAGUUUUGGAUUUACUAGAAUUUAAAAACAAGGAAUCUCAAUGUCUGCAGCCGAGUGACGGUGGCAGGGUGUUUGACAUUCGUUCCCAUUUCCUGCAUGGGACCUAAGCAUGCAACCAAGGACACAUAUUUGAAUUUUCAACCAAUUUAUAUGCAUUAGAGCAUGUGCCUAUAGUUCAAAUUUGAAUUAUGCACAUGAAUGCAUAGAAAACUCAGUUAAUGCAUAAAAAUGUCCAAACAAACCCCGAAAAUCCCAAGAAUUGACACAACACUCGUGUUGUUCUAUGUUGACACUAGAAAUUUUUUGAAAGCAAUAAGAGGCAGCGGAUACCGUUUCAUCCCCAAAGGUGGGAUGUUCCCUACCUAAACCAUCAGGCUUGUUGUGAGAAGCUUUGAUUUGUGAGAAGCAUAUCUCCAAACCGGCCCCAAAUGGGACAAAAAUAUUACCACGGUAUGUUGUUGCCGCUCCAUGAUAGCAUGCCAAGUUUCAUGAAUUUCAGACGAGUUUUGCAUUUACUAGAAUCUAAAAACUAGGUAUCUCAAAGUUUGCGGCCGAGUGACGGUGGCAGGGUGUUUGAUAUUCAUUUCCAUUUCCUGCAUGGGACCUAAUUAAGCAUGCAACCAAGGACAUAAAUUUGGAUUUUCAACCAAUUUAUAUGCAUUAGAGCAUGUGUGUGUAGUUCACAUUUGAAAUAUGCACAUGAAUACAUAGAAUCAGUUAAUGUAUAAAAAUGUCCAAGCGAGCACCCAAAAAUCCCAAAAAUUCACACAAACACUCCUGUUGUUCUAUGUUGACACUAGGAAAAAAAGUUGAAAUCAAGAAGAGGCAAUGGAUUUCAUUUUGUCCAGAAAGGUGAAACAUUCCCUACCAAAACCAUCGGGCUUGUUGUGAGAAGCUCUGGUUUGUGAGAAGCAUAUCCCCAAACCUGCCCCAAAUGGGAUAAAAAAAUUACCACGACAUGUUGAUACCGCUCCAUGACAGCAUGCCAAGUUUCAUGAAUUUUAGACGAGCUUUGGAUUCACUAGAAUUUAAAAACCAGGUAUCUCAAUGUUUGCGGCUGACUGACGGUGGCAGGGUGUUUGACAUUUGUUCCCAUUUCUUGCAUGGGACCUAAUAAGCAUGCAACCAAGGACACAGAUUUGAAUUUCCAACUAAUUUAUAUGCAUUAGAGCAUGUGCAUGUAGUUCAAAUUUGAAUUAUGCACAUGGAUGCAUAGAAAAUUCAGUUAAUGUAUAAAAAUGUCCAAGCGAACCCCCAAAAAUCCCAAAAAUUGACACAACACUCCUGUUGUUCUAUGUUGACAAUAGGAAAAAAAAUGAAAUCGAGAAGAGACAAUGAAUAUCGUUUCAUCCAUAAAGGUGAAACGUUCCCUACCGAAACCAUCGGGCUUGUUGUGAGAAGCUCUGGUUUAUGAGAAGCAUAUCCCCAAACCUGCCCCAAAUGGGACAAAAAAUUUACCACGGCAUGUUGAUGCCGCUCCAUUACAGCAUGCCAAGUUUCAUGGAUUUCAGACGAACUUUGGAUUUACUAGAAUUUAAAAACCAGGUAUCUUAAUAUUUGCGUCCGAGUGACGGUGGUAGGGUGUUUGACAUUCGUUCCCAUUUCUUGCAUGGGACCUAAUAAGCAUGCAACCAAGGACACAUAUUUGAAUUUUCAACUAAUUUAUAUGCAUUAGAGCAUGUGCAUGUAGUUCAGAUUUGAAUUAUGCACAUGAAUGCAUAGAAAACUCAGUUAAUGUAUAAAAAUGUCCAAGCGAACACCGAAAAAUCCCAAAAAUUGACAAAACACUCCUGUUGUUCUAUGUUGACACUAAAAAAAACUUGAAAUCGAGAAGAUGCAACGGAUAUCAUUUCGUCCAGAAAGGUGAAACGUUCCCUACCGAAACCAUCAUACUUUUUGUGAGAGAAGCUAUGGUUUGCGAGAAGCUUAUAGCAUAACCUGGCCUAAAUGGGACAAUAUUUUUUUACCCCAGCAUCUUGAUGUUGUUCCAUGAUAGCAUGCCAAGGUUCAUGAAUUUCAGACGAGUUUUCUAUUUACUAGAAUUACAAAAGCAAGCACCUCAACAUUUGCCGGAGACCCACGGUGUCGUGGUGUUUGAAAUUCAUCCCCAUUUCUUGAAUGGGACGUAAGCAUCAACCCAAGGAAACAUAUAUCAUUUUACAACCCAUUUUGGUGCACCGGAGCAUGUGCAUGUGGUUUCAUUUUGAAUUGUGCACCUGAAAUGCCUAGAAAACCAAGUUACCGUAUAAAAAUGUCCAAACGAACCCUGAAUAAUUCCAAAUUUUUUGACGACGCACCUAUAGUUGCAUGUUCACUAUAGAUAGAAGUUCUCGCAAAUCAAACACCAUCUUUUGGAGCUGUGACCCCAUUAUGUAAUUUAAAUCAAGAUGAAAAAUCAAGUAGAUCUCACACAGUUUAUUAUCACCAACUGUGUGAGAUGCAGUACAAAAUAUCCUGGAGCACCGUCGGUGUAUAGUACACCUAUGGCUUACUCGAGAAGGUUCGUUGGCUACAGUCCACAGCCCGCUCUGAAUAAGGGACCAUGUCUGAUGACACUUUGCGUGCCAGUUUUUUCGCUGAAGCGAUUCCAAAUUUUUGGCUUCCUCGAGAAGGUUCAUUGGCUACAGUCCACAGCCCGCUCUGAAUAAAGGGCCAUGUCUGAUGACACUUUGCGCGCCAGUUUUUUCGCUGAAGCGAUUCCAAAUUUUCGGCUUCCGCGGAAAUAUCUACCUCCCCACCCCCUCCACCUUACCAAAAGCCAUAUUUCCCCUGUUUCCUCCUUCCUUUCGAAGUUGAAACCUUCACUCCUUGGUUGCAGCGCCGCCUCCUCGCCGGCGACCCUCCUUCAUGCUGCUCGGCCUCGCCUAUCCAGGCAGGUAAUCCAGACCCGAACCCCAUCCACCUCCUCCUUCCACAUCCCACAUGCCUCGACCGUCGGCGCGAGCGCGACACCUUCCACCAAAAUCACCGAUCCCUCCACCAAAUAAGUGUCGUCCUAAGCCAUGGUGUAUGCAGUAUAGCCAGCAUCUCAAGGAGCAUUUGGCAGCGGACAAGCAAAUCACGACCGCACGCGCGGAUGAGGUCGUGAUGGCUGCCAUUCGUGCCAACCCCCAGAUCUUGGAGGAGCACCUCGUCGUCGAGGCCACCAUCAACGCCUCACACACCGACGUCGUGGCGCGGCUAGCUGCUUUGAACGACAGUUCAUGGCAUUUUCUCGAGGCCACCGUCGGUGCCUUUGACGAAGACUACCAGGUGUUUUCUCGGCGUGCACAUGCUUACCUCAUCUCGAGAGCUAGCAGGUUGGUUCCUGGAGCGGCUCAGGCAACUCACCACUACAACGAGGGCACCCACGAUGCGGAGGACUCGCCCUCUUCCAUGUCCAAGGAGCCAAUCGUCAUUGAUAUCUCCGACAAUGAGUAGUUUGUCUUAUUAGCUCACUAUAAGGACCCAUGUUCACUUUGCUAGCUAUUGCCUUUCCUUAACAAAUUCUAGUGAAUUGUGCUAUCUAUUUUUACCAUGCAAUCUUCUGCUCUAGUGUAUAUGUUUUAUAUGUCAUGCAAUGUGGUGUUCAGUUAACUGUUUGGUUCAAUUCUGCAAAUGUGAUGUUCAAUUCUUUAGGAUGCAAUUUUCCAAGUUGUCAAGCAUGCUUGGUUUGGUUAACUGUUUGAUCUUCUAUUAGGAGUAUGUUAUAUUGUACAUUAUGGUGCUCAGUUGACGUUUGGUUCAUUUGUUGUGGUGUUUAGUUAACUCCUUGGUUCAAUUCUUGAAUGCAAUGUUCAAUUAUUGUGUGUGCAUUCUGUUAUUGUAUACCAUGUGAGAAAUAAAUUGAAUUUGGCUGUUCUAAAUACAUGAGAAACAAAUACAGUUGCUAUAUUUACAAGUUGUUAAGCAUGCUUGGUUUGGUUAACUGUCUGAUCUUCUAUUAGGAGUAUGUUAUAUUAUGCAAUGUGGUGCUCAGUUAACAUUUGGUUCAUUUGUUGUGGUGUUUAGUUAACUGUUUGGUUCAAUUCUGCAAUGCGAUGUUCAAUUAUUGUGUGUGUAUUCUGUUAUUGUAUACCAUGUGAGAAAUCAAUCGAAUUUGGGUGUACUAAAUACAUGAGAAACAAAUACAAUUGAUAUAUUUCCAAGUUGUUAAGCAUGCCUGGUUUGGUUAACUAUCCGAUCUUCUAUUAGGAGUAUGUUAUAUUUGUGCAAUGUGGUGCUCGGUUAACGGUUGGUUCAUUUGUUGUGGUGUUUAGUUAACUGCUUGGUUCAAUUCAGCAAUGCGAUGUUCAAUUGUUGUGGCUGCAUUCUGUUAUUGUAUGCUAUUAUAUCUUGUCUUUUUUAUUCCUUUGCCCCAUUUCUAGUAUAGAGAAGAUAUUUAUGCACAUCCUUGUUUUCAGGCCUUUGCAAAACAGUUGACUGAUGAGUACCUCUCAAACCACCUAUAUGGACGGUCAAUCAUCCACAGGUGCUGGCCUAAAGUUGCAAAGACCUUCAACACCAAUGAAGGCUCAAUAUUCGCCUUCCGCUUCCGCAGUUUCCCGAUGAGAUGCAUUUGUCUAUGUACCGUCUAUGAUGCUAAUUUCGAAAGGUUCUAGAUGUUGCAUGUGAAACUUGGUGCUGGUGCAGUUGUGUAACAAGGUAGCUGAGUGCUGAAGUUAUAUCAUGUUGUACUCUAAUGUAUUUCAAUUAUGAAAUCAUGCUUCCUUAAUAUGGGAAUGAAAUAUAAUAUGUGUUUAAUAUGAAUGUCAAUUAGAUUAAUAAAUGGAUUAUUAAUAAUAAGGAAAUUAGCAUGCUAAUUGGUUUUUGCUAUUGCAAACGGUUAUUGAGAAAAUACCGUGGGUGAUGACCUAAGGCAACGCACACAGUUUCUAGCAAUAAACCAUGUUGGAUCGAUGAGCAAUCACACACAACAUUCUUUUCAAAACUGUUUGCGUUAGGCCACCUUGAGCAAACGUUUACCACAUAAAAGUUGUGUGUGAUGGAUAGCAUUUGCCACACAGUUUAUUAUACGCACCAUGUGUGAUGCAUUCAUGGCAAACGAUAAAAUUAUUAGUAUUGUGUGCGAUGGGAAGGCCAUCACAAACGAUUUAACGGGGGAAAUUGUGUGUGAUGUACCUACGAACGGAAACGUUUUCCUUGCAGCGACUAUGUGGGAUGUAUACACGAACGGAAACGUUUCGCGGGGACUGACCGUGUGCGAUGAAAUUACAACCGGAAAUGAUUUUGCCUAUAUAAUUGUAUUUUUAGCACUACUAUACGUAUAACCGUAUUUGCUCGCUCGCCAGUCGCACACGACCUCAAUUUGCCGAGCGUGUGUGCCAGGAGGGCAUAUCCCCGACGAUUUCUGGGUCGUAUAGGAAGGACCCCCUAUCGCCGACACUCACUAAUUGACGGUUCUGAAUGCCGUCGAGGAAAGGGGUUACAAACCAUUUGUAUAGCACCGACACGUACCAGUGUUACCUUUCCUUUCUUUGGGUGAAUUAGUGUCUGCUGGGCUAGUUGCCUGAACCUGUCGUGUCUCGUUGUUUUUAUUUCUCUAUACCGGAACCAAUAAAUCGCGAGUGGACAUGCCACCACGCGCGUUCGAAAUCCACACCGCACGCUGCCGCGCUAUGCGUGCAGCUUUAAUACCCUCUGGCCGUAUAAAGAAUUUGCCUCGUCGUAUAGCAUUCCGUAUAGCGUGUGUAUUUUCACCUGACACAUGCAGUGCAUGGACCGCGAGGCAGCGCGUGCAUUAAUCCCACACCCAGCAGCCCAACGGUAAUAAUUCAACUAUCUGGCAGCCCAUAUGCGGGCAACGUAUCUGGUGAUACCGCAACUCAAGUGAUGCAAUGCUCUGAUGGAUCAUGGGUCUUUCGAUUAAGGAAAGCGAUGAAGGCACACGUGAUGAGCAGCCUCUCCAUCGCAGAAUAUACAAAAACACUCUGAUUCAUGUUAUUAAUUAAGCAUCAGGCCCUUUUCCUAGUAGUACUGUACUAGUUUAUGAGCCUCAGUUUCACUUACGGGCAGAAAAAAGGCUUAGUUUCAUUGCCCAGACACAGAAACUUAAACCUGGUUUUCACUCAUGUCUUGCUAUUGUGCAAUCUCCAUAUGAAAUUAUGCCAUCUUCGUAUUUUGCUUUUAUACUGCUAAAAGUUCAACAAAAUAAAUCUAGUAAUGUUUUGGUUACUUUGCCCGUGAAACACUAAUAGUAGUCUGGCAUGUCUAGUCCGUAAAUUUGCAUAUAAUGUCAAUUAUGAUAAUCCACAAAGAGUACUAUUAUAAACGAACAUUUUCGCUGUUGGUCUUCACAUAUUCCAUGUGCCUUUCUAGCUUGUACAAUCUGAAACCAGUUGGACAACUGACCUAGUACAUGCUAUAUUUGCUUUCACGGAAGCUAACUGAGUUUUUUGUACAGAAUGUACAAGCAAGCAUUUCCAGCUAUCUUAAUGAGGAACUGAAUCUAAUUGAGUGAAUGUUGUGGUUAAUUAAAAUGCACAGCUUUUUUUUCUAAGUUGACACCUACAGGUUAGAAUGUGUAUAUGGUUUUUACCAGUAGAGGGUGUCACUUUUUUUCUUGUGAUAACAAGGUUACGUGCAUCAUUUCACGCAUGCUCCUGCUAAAUAAACAAUGGGCAAAAUUAAGGAAAUCCGAAAAUCCUCAUCUUCCCAUUCCCUUGGGCUUAAUUAAGUAUAGAAUCCAGAGUGCUUCUGGUAUAUUGUGCAGUGGAGGAGCUGGUCAUCACCCUUGCAUUUAUCAUGUCCCUCUGAAUAUGAUCUAGCGGUUCAAGAUUCAUUCGAGCAUUGUAGCUCCUGAGAUCCCGUAUUACUAGAUAUGUCCUCCCCACAUGCGAUGCACAUAUUAAAGACACAACAGAGGAGUGAAUACGCUCGGCUACCCCUGCGAAAUGUAAAUGCACCCAACAAUCCAUUGAUGAUCCGUCAACGCAAUGGCCUCCUAGCUGCGUCUCUCGCGACAAAAAAUUCGGAGAGAUGCUUACGGGCGUGCCACAGCUAGAAGACGACGACGACAGCGAUGGAUUUUUCCUACUUGCUAAACGCGAGAGAAGCGUGUAGUGGGUGUGUUGUGCAACCGAUGCCGCUCUCCGUCUGUGCAGAGCUUAUCUUCACACCUUGCUCUGUUCGUCCAUGGUUGACGGAAAGACGAGAUACACACUGCGAGAACCGAACUUGGGCAACAAAUCAAUUAUGUCCACCCAACGCCCAAAGCAAUUAUUGGAUCGGUUGGAUGUCGCCUGGCCCGUCUAUUCAUAGAACAUUAAAUGCAGCCCUAUCCCACACCAUGGGCGUAUAAAUUGAGGUAUUUGGGAAGCUGCUAAUUAAGCUGCCCCGUAUUCCCAGAUGGCUUAUUAAAAGUAGUCAUCACGACACACAGGCGGACGUCCUGAAUAUGGGCUGCGCGUGGCCGCAUGUCCCAAAAAUCCGCGUCGGUACCGGAACCUGCUACCUUGGCCUCACUGAUAAUAUGCCUCAUAAUAGAAACUGGAGCCGGGAUUGAUCGCCUAUUUUUCUAUAAAACGAUUAUGCUUGCAGCUUGACACUGAGUACUAUCCUUCCCAAUCACCGCCAUGACUUUUGCGCCUUUGAUCAUGUAGCAUGUAGUAAUAUGUACUCAGAAGUCAAAAGACAGAGCUGGUCCAAGUUAGCAUUAAGGACAUGUACAAUGGUUGAUAAAAUAAUUUUAUUUUAAAUUUUACAUGUAAUUUAAAAAUGACAAAAAAUGUCUACAAUGAGCCAUUUUUUAGUCUUAUUGUCAAUAACUAGCCAUUCCUAAAAAUAUGGUGAGACAUAUUGUGCUAAGAGAUCAUCUCUUGUCUUUUCUUAAAUAAAAAAAGACAAGUCUUUUCUUAUGAGUUCUCUCUUCCACUCAUCAUUUGUCCUACAUGACACUUCUAAGAUAUCAUUAUUGUACAUGCCCUAAUAAAUCUCGAGCUGCAGAUUUCCUAUUCAAGUUAGCAGCCAUGGUUUGGUCAGUGGCCUCCCUCGGUAGAACUAGAAGCAUCGAGUUCGAGAUACUGCGAGAUGCUGCGACCCAUUCCAAGCAGAGAAAGUGCGAGGAAUCGUUCUUCGCCACAAAAAGGGCAUCCACUAUCUAGUAAUUCCCCGAAGAAAAUCAAACCAAAUUGCUCUUGGACUUGAUAGGUAACAACGAAUGCGCUCGCCUAUAAAUUGAUCACCAAUUCACUCAUCCUCUCCCAUAUCUCACCCCACCCCUCCCCUCCCCUCGCUACUAUAUCUAUCCAUGGCGGCGACACCGGUCAUGCCGGCGAAGAGCGUGGACAAGCCGCUCUUCACCGAGACGUUCAAUGUCCCGGCCAGCUCCGCCGACUACGUCACCUUCAUCAACGGCGUCCGCAACAAGCUCGGUAACCCGGGCCACUUCUCCCACAACCGCCCCGUGCUGCCGCCGGUCGAGCCCAAUAUCGCGCCGAGCAGGUGGUUCCACAUCGUGCUCAAGACCUCGACGGCUAGCACUGGGCUCACGUUCGCCACCCGCGCCGACAACCUCUACUGGGAGGGCUUCAAGAGCAGCGACGACACGUGGUGGGAGCUUACCCCGGGCCUCAUCCCCGGCGCCACCUACCUCGGGUUCGGCGGCACCUACCGCGACCUCCUCGGCUACACUGACAAGCUGACCAACGUAGCUCUCGGCCGGCAGCAGAUGGCCGACAAGGUGACCGCGCUCUACGGGCGUACCAACGCCGACAAGACCUCUGGCCUGAAGCAGCAGCAGGCGAGGGUGGCGGUGACGACGCUGCUCCUCAUGGUGCACGAGGCCACGCGGUUCCAGACCGUGUCGGGGUUCGUGGCCGGCCUGCUGCACCCCAAGGCGGUGGAGAAGAAGAGCGGGAAGAUCUCCGACGAGCUAAAGGCCCAGGUGAACGGGUGGCAAGACUUAUCCGAAGAGCUGCUGAAGACGGAUGCGAAGCCCCCGCCGGGAAAGUCGCCAGCGAAGUUCACGCCGAUCGAGAAGAUGGGCGUGAGGACGGCGGAGCAGGCCGCCGCCGCGCUGGGGAUCCUGCUGUUCAUCGAGGUGCCGGGUGGGCUGACGGUGGCCCAGGGGCUGCAGCUGUUUCGUGCGCUUGGGGGAAAAUAGUUAGUUUUGCAGGUAUAUCUGCAUGAGUAUAUUGUAUGUAUAAUUCGAAUAAACAUGCUACAGAGCGUGGGACUGAUAUAAAUAAAUAAAUAAACAUGUUUCAGAAUGAGUGCAUGAUAUAAAUAAAUAAAUAAACAUGUUACAAAGUGGGUGAGUUCCUUACCUCUUUUGCUGUCUUUGCUGUUUCUCCUCUUCCUCCUGUACUCCUUACCUCUUUCCCACCUUUUCUCUUUCACUCCUUCCCUUAUAACCUUGCACCUGGGUGCAUUUCACAAGUUUGAUGUAACAUGUUACUUUCACAGGCUUUUCAGCCUCUUUUGAAAUAUAAGGUCGGCCUUGAGCCACCUUUUCUUUCAAAACAUAAAAAUAAAAUUGCUAUCUAACAUAUGUUUUUGCUUUAGUGAGUAUCCAUUGGACAAGAAUAAAAAAACAUGAUCUAGCGCGCUUAGCCCACUGGAACCCACCUUACCCUAUUAGUUAGCCCUUCCCAUAGUGUUCUCAUGCAUGGACGAGUAGAGGGUGGCGGGCGCGUCUUUAUCUUGCCUCUAUUUUAUUUUAGAAUUUAUCUUGAAUCUAGUCUUAAAAAUUUAUCUUGCCCCUAGUUAGACUUGUUUUUAGCGGUUUUCUCUAGUGAGAUGAAAGAACGACUCGUCUCAAAGGAGCUCAUACGAGCCGGGCCAGUCGAGGGUAGUUGGUUCAUUUCUAAUGUUCUUUUGGUUCCGUUUGUUACUCCUUUUCCAUUUUCGAUUUUUAUUUUUUUAUUUUUGGAAUAUUUUAAGUAUAUAUCUUUAAAAAAAUCUUUGACUUAGAAAAGUUCACCGCAUAUUAAAACGAUCACGUAAUGAGAAAACAAUCUUCGCAUAAUUUGAUAAAAACAGUUAAUAUCAUUCAAAUAAUUGUUCAACAUAUUUAUAAAAUGUGACGCGCUGCGUAAUAUGUUCAGGCUUUUUAAAAAAUGUUUAUAGAAUGUAAAAAUUUGGUACCCUAAUUUUGCAAUAAUGUUCAUACAAGUAAAAAAAAUGUGCAUAACACUUACAAAAUAUAUUGCAAAUUUGAAAUAAACUCAUCGUAUUUAUGGAAAAUGUUCAAUGUAUUAAAAAAAUGUUCACUAUGUAUUUUAAAAAGUUGAGUGUUCAUUUGACAAAUGUUCAACAUAUAUUAAUAAAAAUGUUAAAACUUUAUUCGGAAAAUGUUCAAUGUGUAUCUGAUUUUUUUCAACCUAUAUAAAAACGUUCAAUGUGCAUUUGACAAAUGUUCAAAAUGUAUUAAGUUAAAAUGUUCAACAUGUAUGAGAAAAAAAAUGUUCAAUGGCUAUCUAAAAAUUGGACAACGUGUAUACCAAAAAUGUUCAACCUGUAGUGAAAACUUGGCACGUAUUUGAAAAAAUAAAUAAAUAAGAAAAGAAAAAACAAACAGAGAGAAAGAAAAAUGAUGAAAACACACAGAAACAAAGAAGAAGAAAAAUGCGUGGAAGAUUCUAAAACCGGCCGGAAAUAGUCCAUAGAAGAUUUUCAAAAGGGAAAGAGGAAAUAAAACCGACAUAGCCUCAUUUGCUCCUGGUGGAAACUAAGAUUGAAAGAAAAAGGUUAUAUAGUUCGGAAAAAACUGAAAGUUUUCGGCAUCCAAGAUGCUUGGGCGGACUAGGAGUGUGCAAUAUUUCUAUGGUCCAUAUUUCUUUUUGCGACGAGCUCAUCAAAUGUCAUUUUGGAUUUAAACAAUGGGGUCCAAAUCAUUGGAUGUGUAUUGAAGCAAACUAACGGUUAUUUUAGCUAUGUAAUCCAGUUAACCCCCCGUUCAAUUUUCUGUACUAGUGAUGUUUGAAGUUUCAUUGUGUACUUGUCACAAUUAGGACUGCCUUGAUGUGCGAUGUGAGAGUAAAAGAAAGAGGUUACUGCAGGUAUGAAGGCACACUACUAGUGUACAUGACAGUAAUGUGACCGGGGCACGCCACUGAUAACCAAUUUCCACCCGCCACUGAUGACGAUUUCCGCGGGGAUGGUUGCCUGAACAUGUCGCAUGUCUUUGUUUUUAUUUCUCCCUACCCGAGGCAGAACCUGCUACCUUUGCUCUGCCUGAUCAUUGGCUUCAUAACAGAAAAAUAGAGCCGAGAGUGAUCCUCCUGUUUCUCUAUGAAAGAUCAUGUUUACAGCUCGACACAAGUACAAUCCUUCUGGAUUACUACUGUGACUUUUGCGCCUUUGAUAAUGUAACAUAUACUCAGAAUUCCAAAGACAGAACUGAUCCCUGCAUCACUAAAUCGAGACAUGACAUCCGCAGAUUUCUUAUUCAAGUUAGUGGUAGAAGGAUAGCGCUUAAGAUGCUGCGACCGAUUAAUUCCAAGCUGAGAAAGUGUGAUGAACUGAUCUUCGGCAUAAAUAAAGGGAUCAUCCACUAGUUAAUCCCCAGAAGAAAAACAUGCCGUCUCCAUUCCAGAACGAUAUUUCUGCGUAGCCGUGCAGUGCUGCAAAUCAAACCAAAUUGAAUCUUGGCAUCUCCUUCUUUGGACUAGCUAGCUAGGAAAGCAAGCAUAUGUAAAAGUGAAGGCGUGUAGGCGUAUACAUCUAGGUAAGGACGCGUGCAUGUUAUAUAGAUCAAUAGGGUUGCAAUUGGCGGCAGGUUAUUUAGUAGGACAGACCCCUAAACCAAGCAAUACAAAGAUAAGGAUCAGCUCCAAAAACGCCUUCGUGUAAGCAUACGCACACACAUCACGUAGUAGUAUUAGGAUUGACCUUAAGUCAAGCUAUACAAAGAUAAGGAUCAUCUCUGACAACCUGCCUUGUAUACAACACACAAGCACAGCAUCACGUACAAGUUACAUAUGACACGUACACGUAUACAAAGCCUAUCAUUUGACAGCAUGCACCUGUCGAUCGCCUAUAAAUUCAUCUCCAGUUCGUUCAUCCUCUUCCAUAUCUCAACCCCUCUCGCUUGAUAGUACGUAUCAUCUAAGCCUCGUAUCCAUGGCGGCAAAGAUGGCGAAGAACGUGGACAAGCCGCUCUUCACGGCGACGUUCAACGUCCAGGCCAGCUCUGCCGACUAUGUCACCUUCAUCAACGGCAUCCGCAACAAGCUCCGCAACCCGGGGCACUCCUCCCACAACCGCCCCGUGCUGCCGCCGAUCGAGCCCAACGUCCCGCCGAGCAGGUGGUUCCACAUCGUCCUCAAGACAUCGCCGGCAAGCACCGGGCUCACGCUCGCCACCCGCGCCGACAACCUCUACUGGGAGGGCUUCAAGAGCAGCGACGACACCUGGUGGGAGCUCACCCCCGGACUCAUCCCCGGCGCCACCCACGUUGGGUUCGCCGGCACGUAUCGUGACCUCCUCGGCGACACCGACAAGCUGACCAACGUCGCUCUCGGCCGGCAGCAGAUGGCGGACGCGGUGACCGCGCUCUACGGGCGCACCAAGGCCGACAAGACCUCCGGCCCGAAGCAGCAGCAGGCGAGGGAGGCGGUGACGACGCUGCUCCUCAUGGUGCACGAGGCCACGCGGUUCCAGACCGUGUCGGGGUUCGUGGCUGGAGUGCUGCACCCCAAGGAGAAGAAGAGCGGGAAGAUCGGCAAUGAGAUGAAGGCCCAGGUGAACGGAUGGCAGGACCUGUCCGAAGCGCUGCUGAAGACGGACGCGAAGCCCCCGCCGGGAAAGGCGCCAGCGAAGUUCACGCCGAUCGAGAAGAUGGGCGUGAGGACGGCGGAGCAGGCGGCCGCCACCCUGGGGAUCCUGCUGUUCGUCCAAGUGCCCGGUGGGAUGACGGUGGCCCAGGCGCUGGAGCUGUUUCAUAAGAGUGGGGGGAAAUAGGUAGUAGUUGUGCAGGUAUAUCUGCAUGGGUAUUGUACAAGUCGAAUAAACAUGUCACAGAGUGACUGAAUGAUAUAAAUAAAUAAAUGUCACAGAGUCAGUGAAUGAUAUGAAUAAAUAAACGUGUCUAGUUUAUAUUGGGCCCAACUAUAGAAUUGCUAUCCAACAUAUGUUUUGCAUAUGCACAUAUUAGAAGCGUGAACUAUGUUCAUCCUUUUAGACUCCCAGGGGCUCAUUUGGUUGUUGGGGUGAAAAAACCAUGGGCAGUAAACUCCCCUAGGGGAUUUCCCUGCUCAUAUGAGAUCCUCCUCCUGCCAUGUGAAAUAUCCCAUUGCCAUUUGGGCACCAAGGGAGAGUGAAGAGAGUGAAGGGAGAAGAGCAGAAGAACAGAGCGCCAAGGCGACUCAGAUCACAAGAAAAGAGACAAGGGGAGCCCGGGAGAAUUCUCCUGGAGUGCGGAGGUCGGAGCGAGCGGCCCGGGGAUUUCGGGAGGAUCGGGCCGAGAAAGCCCUUUCCACGAUGUUACCAAAUGGAUCGCCUAAAAAUCCGGGGUGUAGAUUGCAGGCGGGUUUCUCGCCCGAGGAAAGGACAGGUAUCCUGGCAGCAAUGCUACAUUCACGGACUAAUACGGGGGGGUUACGAAGUGUUUGUGACUUGUUAGAUGUUGAUUGGAUUAAGGGGGAGGAAGAGGCCCCACCCACCUGAAAAUCAGGAGGGUGAAAAAGAAUUAGAAGGAAGGGUCCGUAAUGCCCCCGUAAUGAGCCCGUGCGUUUAGCAUUUUUGGUAUCCCGGGGGAUCCAUGGUAACCAACUUGUGUACCACAAAUUCCCCUCCAGAAAAUCUACAUAUUUUAGUAUUUUUUGGCCAGAAAAUUCUCACACUUACAUACACGGUUAUAUUGUUUUUCUUUAUUUAAAAGGGAGGAAAGCCCCACAUAAUGAUGCAUGCAGCCAAUUUAUUAACCAAAAGUAUGCAAACGGAGUCUAAGGGCCAGUACUGGCUCACAAAAGGAGCACAAGAACAGUAAAGAUAAAAAGAUGCCACAGCCGGCGAAAAAACAAGUUAAGAUGACUAAACACCUAGCCUAUUAUUAGUUCGCCAUUUAAAUUGGUUGGAGAUAACCCGUGCUACCGUCUCCCAAUGGUUGCACCCAGUAACCAAAAGCCCCCUAGAGUCCGCAUGAGUGAGUAACGACCACGUACGGAUCCAAGCAGUGGCUAUGUGGAUAACCUGCAAAAGUUGAUAAAGUUUUUUCUAUUAAAGAUCAUAUCACCUUUGCAGUUUCAUAUAGCCCAAAACAGUGCACAUAUCCCUAUCCGAAUAUGUCCUGCAAUAUUUGAAUCCGCUCCAUUUAGCCAUGUCCCAAAUAACGUGUUACUAAUUGAAGGAUUAAUGUUGAAGUCUAUAUGUAUCGUACGCCAUACAAGUUUGGCUUAUAUUGUGCCAUUUCAAUAUUUUAUUUGUCGAUUUUAUGUUUAUAUACAGUUGGUAUUCAUUGAAUAGGUGGAUUUCCUGGGAGAGAAGGUGCAAAGCUUCAAGGCCAGACCCCACAAGGAGUUGAUGACUCAGUAUAGCAAUCCUGACGAGACUGGGACAGUACCCCGCCGGAGACAGGGACAACGCGGUUGUUCUAGUGCCACUGGUUCCUGCGAGGGCGAGGGUUCACAUGUUUGGGGUGCUUUUUUACAAUCCACAUGUUUGGAGGUGUUAAGGGCAUCUCCAACCACGACCCGUAAAUUUUCUCCUGCAUUCGUCUGGGACAGGGGGAAGGGGCAGUCCGUGGACAUGGAUGCAGGAGGGGGCCAUCCAACGCUGCCCGAAGACAUUUCAACCCGCAUUUCAACUAGCUGGACGAAAUUCAUGUACACCGGCUCCAGGGUGGACAGCGCUGUCAUAAAGGCCAGUGGGCGUGUCGGUGCUGGUUGCGGACGUCCGGCAAUGCCACUGUGGCGGCCCUAGACGUACAACGGCAGCAGCGGAGGUGGAGCGUGCAGAUGCAAAGCAAGGGGGACAAGGGCGCGGAGUGGAAGGAAAUGAAACCGAGAGGGUGAUUGGGUGGGCCGGGGGUGUCGGUUUCCUACAUGGCUGCUGCUGGUUUGAACUUUUUUUAUUAACUUGAACAAAAAUAUCUGUAUUUCGAAAAAUGUUAACGAAUUUGAAAAAUGUUUCUGGAUUUUAGAAACUGUUCAUUAAUUUGAAAAAAGCGAUCACAAGUUUGAAAAAAUGUUUCCUCAUUUUUGAAAAUGUUCCUGAAUUUCACAAAAUGUCCCUGCAUUUUAGAGAAUGUUCAAAAAAUUAAAAUAUGGGGCAUAUUCCUUUUAUGCUUUUACUCCUACAUUUUAUACGAAAUUGUAAAAAAUGUUAAAAAAAUAGAGAAAAGAAAAAAGGAAAGAAAAAUAAAAUGGGAAGCUUAUAGAAAAAACAUAAAAGGAAAAAAGGGUCUAUGAAGGUUCUAGUACUUUUCUAUAAACGGGGAACACACUAAAAACCUCGAACUGGGCUGGCACAAUAUAGUGCCUACAAUUGCGUGAGGGUGUGCCUUUGCUCGCUAACUGUUGACCUAUGCUGGGAUUCAGAAUUAUCGUCUUUAUCUUGCGUCUAGUGAGAUUUUUUUUCUUGAGAAUUCUCGCCCAACUUUAUUGGUGAAUCAAAAUGUUCUAGUGAGAUGGAAGAAAAACUCGUCACAAGGGAGUUCAUGGCGGCCGGCCAGUCCGGUGUUGUUGGUUUGGUUCAUUCAUUCCUUUUAUUCAUUUGGUUUCGUCUUUUUACUUUUACUUUUUUCCUUACUUAUUUUUAUUUAAUUUUGAAAAUAUUUGACUUAAUUUCAAAAAAAUCACUGUGCAUUACAAGUUAUGUAAUGUAAUGCAGUUUUUUCGCAUAAUUUGUAAAAUAAAUGUUAAUAUUAUUUAAAAGUUCAUCACAUUUAAAGAACAUUCACAUGUUUCAAAAAUAUUAUCAACCAUUUUAUUAAAUCUUCAUAAAUUAAAUGUUUGUCCAAACGAACCCCGAAAAUGUCCAAACGAACCCCGAAAAUCCCAAAAAUUGACACAACACUCCUCUUGUUCUCUGUUGAGACUAGAAAUUUUUUGAAAGCAAUAAGAGGCAGCAGAUAUUGUUUCGUCCCCUAAGGUGGGACGUUCCCUACCAAAACCAUCAGGCUUGUUGUGAGAAGCUCUGGUUUGUGAGAAGCUUAUACCCAAACCUGCCCCAAAUGGGACAAAAAAAUUACCACGGCAUGUUGAUGCCGCUCCAUGAUAGCAUGCCAAGUUUCAUGAAUUUCAUAUGAGUUUUGGAUUUACUAGAAUUUAAAAACAAGAAAUCUCAAUGUCUGCAGCCGAGUGACGGUGGCAGGGUGUUUGACAUUCGUUCCCAUUUCCUGCAUGGGACCUAAGCAUGCAACCAAGGACACAGAUUUGAAUUUUCAACCAAUUUAUAUGCAUUAAAGCAUGUGCCUAUAGUUCAAAUUUGAAUUAUGCACAUGAAUGCAUAGAAAACUCAGUUAAUGCAUAAAAAUGUCCAAACAAACCCCGAAAAUCCCAAAAAUUGACACAACACUCGUGUUGUUCUAUGUUGACACUAGAAAUUUUUUGAAAGCAAUAAGAGGCAGCGGAUACCGUUUCAUCCCCAAAGGUGGGACGUUCCCUACCGAAACCAUCAGGCUUGUUGUGAGAAGCUCUGGUUUGUGAGAUGCAUAUCUCCAAACCGGCCCCAAAUGGGACAAAAAUAUUACCACGGCAUGUUGUUGCCGCUCCAUGAUAGCAUGCCAAGUUUCAUGAAUUUCAGAUGAGUUUUGCAUUUACUAGAAUCUAAAAACUAGGUAUCUCAAAGUUUGCGGCCGAGUGACGGUGGCAGGGUGUUUGAUAUUCAUUCUCAUUUCUUGCUUGGGACCUAAUUAAGCAUGCAACCAAGGACAUAAAUUUGGAUUUCAACCAAUUUAUAUGCAUUAGAGCAUGUGCGUGUAGUUCACAUUUGAAAUAUGCACAUGAACACAUAGAAUUAGUUAAUGUAUAAAAAUGUCCAAGCGAACACCCAAAAAUCCCAAAAAUUUACACAAACACUCCUGUUGUUCUAUGUUGACACUAGGAAAAAAAGUUAAAAUCAAGAAGAGGCAAUGGAUUUCGUUUUGUCCAGAAAGGUGAAACAUUCCCUACCAAAACCAUCGGGCUUGUUGUGAGAAGCUCUGUUUUGUGAGAAGCAUAUCCCCAAACCUGCUCCAAAUGGGACAAAAAAAUUACCACGACAUGUUGAUGCCGCUCCAUGACAGCAUGCCAAGUUUCAUGAAUUUUAGACGAGCUUUGGAUUCACUAGAAUUUAAAAACCAGGUAUCUCAAUGUUUGCGGUUGACUGACGGUUGCAGGGUGUUUGACAUUUGUUCCCAUUUCUUGCAUGGGACCUAAUAAGCAUGCAACCAAGGACACAGAUUUGAAUUUCCAACUAAUUUAUAUGCAUUAGAGCAUGUGCAUGUAGUUCAAAUUUGAAUUAUGCACAUGAAUGCAUAGAAAACUCAAUUAAUGUAUAAAAAUGUCCAAGCGAACCCCCAAAAAUCCCAAAAAUUGACACAACACUCCUGUUGUUCUAUGUUGACAAUAGGAAAAAAAAUGAAAUCGAGAAGAGGCAAUGGAUAUCGUUUCAUCCAGAAAGGUGAAACGUUCCCUACCGAAACCAUCGGGCUUAUUGUGAGAAGCUCUGGUUUGUGAAAAGCAUAUCCCCAAACCUGCCCCAAAUGGGACAAAAAAUUUACCACGGCAUGUUGAUGCCGCUCCAUUACAGCAUGCCAAGUUUCAUGGAUUUCAGACGAACUUUGGAUUUACUAGAAUUUAAAAACCAGGUAUCUCAAUGUUUGCGUCCGAGUGACGGUGGUAGGGUGUUUGACAUUCGUUCCCAUUUCUUGCAUGGGACCUAAUAAGCAUGCAACCAAGGACACAUAUUUGAAUUUUCAACUAAUUUAUAUGCAUUAGAGCAUGUGCAUGUAGUUCAGAUUUGAAUUAUGCACAUGAAUGCAUAGAAAACUCAGUUAAUGUAUAAAAAUGUCCAAGCGAACCCCGAAAAAUCCCAAAAAUUGACACAACACUCCUGUUGUUCUAUGUUGAUACUAAAAAAAUUUGAAAUCGAGAAGAUGCAACGGAUAUCAUUUCGUCCAGAAAAGUGAAACGUUCCCUACCGAAACCAUCAUACUUUUUGUGAGAGAAGCUAUGGUUUGCGAGAAGCUUAUACCAUAACCUGGCCUAAAUGGGACAAUAUUUUUUUACCCCAACAUCUUGAUGUUGUUCCAUGAUAGCAUGCCAAGGUUCAUGAAUUUCAGACGAGUUUUCUAUUUACUAGAAUUACAAAAGCAAGCACCUCAACAUUUGCCGGAGACCCACGGUGCCGUGGUGUUUGAAAUUCAUCCCCAUUUCUUGAAUGGGACGUAAGCAUCAAUCCAAGGAAACAUAUAUAAUUUUACAACCCAUUUUGGUGCACCGGAGCAUGUGCAUGUGGUUUCAUUUUGAAUUGUGCACCUGAAAUACCUAGAAAACCAAGUUACCGUAUAAAAAUGUCCAAACGAACCCUGAAUAAUUCCAAAUUUUUUGACGACGCACCUAUAGUUGCAUGUUCACUACAGAUAGAAGUUCUCGCAAAUCAAACACCAUCCUUUGGAGCUGUGACCCCAUUAUGUAAUUUAAAUCAAGAUGAAAAAUCAAGUAGAUUUCACACAGUUUAUUAUCACCAACUGUGUGAGAUGCAGUACAAAAUAUCCUGGAGCACCGUCGAUGUAUAGUACACCUAUGGCUUACUCGAGAAGGUUCGUUGGCUACAUUCCACAGCCCACUCUGAAUAAGGGGCCAUGUCUGAUGACACUUUGCGCGCUAGUUUUUUCGCUGAAGCGAUUCCAAAUUUUUGGCUUACUCGAGAAGGUUCGUUGGCUACAGUCCACAGCCCGCUCUGAAUAAGGGGCCAUGUCUGAUGACACUUUGCGCGCCAGUUUUUUCGCUGAAGCGAUUCCAAAUUUUCGGCUUCCGCGGAAAUAUCUACCUCCCCGCCCCCUCCACCUUACCAAAAGCCAUAUUUCCCCUGUUUCCUCCUUCCUUUCCAAGUUGAAACCUUCACUCCUUGGUUGCAGCGCCGCCUCCUCGCCGGCGACCCUCCUUCAUGCUGCUCGGCCUCGCCUAUCCAGGCAGGUAAUCCAGACCCGAACCCCAUCCACCUCCUCCUUCCACAUCCCACAUGCCUCGACCGUCGGCGCGAGCGCGACACCUUCCACCAAAAUCACCGACCCCUCCACCAAAUAAGUGCCGUCCUAAGCCAUGGUGUAUGCAGUAUAGCCAGCAUCUCAAGGAGCAUUUGGCAGCGGACAAGCAAAUCACGACCGCACGCGCGGAUGAGGUCGUGAUGGCUGCCAUUCGUGCCAACCCCCAGAUCUUGGAGGAGCACCUCGUCGUCGAGGCCACCAUCAACGCCUCGCACACCGACGUCGUGGCGCUGCUGGCUGCUUUGAACGACAGUUCAUGGCAUUUUCUCGAGGCCACCGUCGGUGCCUUUGACGAAGACUACCAGGUGUUUUCUCAGCGUGCACGUGCUUACCUCAUCUCGAGAGCUAGCAGGUUGGUUCCCGGAGCGGCUCAGGCAACUCACCACUACAACGAGGGCACCCACGAUGCGGAGGACUCGCCCUCUUCCAUGUCCAAGGAGCCAAUCGUCAUUGAUAUCUCCGACAAUGAGUAGUUUGUCUUAUUAGCUCACUAUAAGGACCCAUGUUCACUUUGCUAGCUAUUGCCUUUCCUUAACAAAUUCUAGUGAAUUGUGCUAUCUACUUUUACCAUGCAAUCUUCUGCUCUAGUGUAUAUAUUUUAUAUGUCAUGCAAUGUGGUGUUCAGUUAACUGUUUGGUUCAAUUCUGCAAAUGUGAUGUUCAAUUCUUUAGGAUGCAAUUUUCCAAGUUGUCAAGCAUGCUUGGUUUGGUUAACUGUUUGAUCUUCUAUUAGGAGUAUGUUAUAUUGUGCAUUAUGGUGCUCAGUUGACGUUUGGUUCAUUUGUUGUGGUGUUUAGUUAACUGUUUGGUUCAAUUCUUGAAUGCAAUGUUCAAUUAUUGUGUGUGCAUUCUGUUAUUGUAUACCAUGUGAGAAAUAAAUUGAAUUUGGCUGUUCUAAAUACAUGAGAAACAAAUACAGUUGCUAUAUUUACAAGUUGUUAAGCAUGCUUGGUUUGGUUAACUGUCUGAUCUUCUAUUAGGAGUAUGUUAUAUUAUGCAAUGUGGUGCUCAGUUAACAUUUGGUUCAUUUGUUGUGGUGUUUAGUUAACUGUUUGGUUCAAUUCUGCAAUGCGAUGUUCAAUUAUUGUGUGUGCAUUCUGUUAUUGUAUACCAUGUGAGAAAUCAAUCAAAUUUGGGUGUACUAAAUACAUGAGAAACAAAUACAAUUGCUAUAUUUCCAAGUUGUUAAGCAUGCCUGGUUUGGUUAACUAUCGGAUCUUCUAUUAGGAGUAUGUUAUAUUUGUGCAAUGUGGUGCUCGGUUAACGGUUGAUUCCUUUGUUGUGGUGUUUAGUUAACUGCUUGGUUCAAUUCGGCAAUGCGAUGUUCAAUUGUUGUGGCUGCAUUCUGUUAUUGUAUGCUAUUAUAUCUUGUCUUUUUUAUUCCUUUGCCCCAUUUCUAGUAUAGAGAAGAUAUUUAUGCACAUCCUUGUUUUCAGGCCUUUCCAAAACAGUUCACUGAUGAUUACCUCUCAAACCACAUGUAUGGACGGUCAAUCAUCCACUGGCGCUGGCCUAAAGUUGCAAAGACCUUCAACACCAAUGAAGGCUCAAUAUUCGCCUUCCACUUCCGCAGUUUUCCCGAUGAGAUGCAUUUGUCUAUGUACCGUCUAUGAUGCUAAUUUCGAAAGGUUCUAGAUGUUGCAUGUGAAACUUGGUGCUGGUGCAGUUGUGUAACGGGGUAGCUGAGUGUUGAAGUUAUAUCAUGUUGUACUCUAAUGUAUUUCAAUUAUGAAAUCAUGCUUCCUUAAUAUGGGAAUGAAAUAUAAUAUGUGUUUAAUAUGAAUGUCAAUUAGAUUAAUAAAUGGAUUAUUAAUAAUAAGGAAAUUAGCCUGCUAAUUGGUUUUUGCUAUUGCAAACGGUUAUUGAGAAAAUACCGUGGGCGAUGACCUAAAGCAACGCACACAGUUUCUAGCAAUAAAUCAUGUUGGAUCGAUGAGCAAUCACACACAACAUUCUCUUCAAAACUGUUUGUGUUAGGCCACCUUGAGCAAACGUUUACCACAUAAAAGCUGUGUGUGAUGGAUAGCAUUUGCCACACAGUUUAUUAUACGCACCAUGUGUGAUGCAUUCAAGGCAAAGAUAAAAUUAUUAGUAUUGUGUGCGAUGGGAAGGCCAUCACAAACGAUUUAAGGGGGAAAUUGUGUGUGAUGUACCUACGAACGAAAACGUUUUCCUUGCAGCGACUAUGUGGGAUGUAUACACGAACGGAAACGUUUCGCGGGGACUGACCGUGUGCGAUGAAAUUACAACCGGAAAUGAUUUUGCCUGUAUAAUUGUAUUUUUUAGCAUUACUAUACGUAUAACCGUAUUUGCUCGCUCGCCAGUCGCACACGACCUCAAUUUGCCGAGCGUGUGUGCCAGGAGGGCAUAUCCCCGACGAUUUCUGGGUCGUGUGGGAAGGACCCCCCUAUCGCCCAUACUCACUAAUUGACGGUUCUGAAUGCCGUCGAGGAAAGGGGUUGCAAACAAUUUGUAUAGCACUGACACGUACCAGUGUUACCUUUCCUUUCUUUGGGUGAAUUAGUGUCUGCUGGGCUAGUUGCCUGAACCUGUCGUGUGUCGUUGUUUUUAUUUCUCUAUACCGGAACCGAUAAAUCGCGAGUGGACAUGCCACCACGCGCGUCCGAAAUCCACACCGCACGCUGCCGCGCUAUGCGUGCAGCUUUAAUACCCUCUGGCCGUAUAAAGAAUUUGCCUCGUCGUAUAGCAUUCCGUAUAGCGUGUGUAUUUUCACCUGACACAUGCAGUGCAUGGCCCGCGAGGCAGCGCGUGCAUUAAUCCCACACCCAGCAGCCCAACGGCAAUAAUUCAACUAUCUGGCAGCCCAUAUGCGGGCAACGUAUCUGGUGAUACCGCAACUCAAGUGAUGCAAUGCUCUGAUGGAUCAUGGGUCUUUCGAUUAUGUUGGAAGGGACGCGAUGAAGGCACACGUGAUGAGCAGCCUCUCCAUCGCAGAAUAUACAAAAACACUCUGAUUCAUGUUAUUAAUUAAGCAUCAUGCCCUUUUCCUAGUAGUACUGUACUAGUUUAUGAGCCUCAGUUUCACUUACGGGCAGAAAAAAGGCUUAGUUUCAUUGCCCAGACACAGAAACUUAAACCUGGUUUUCACUCAUGUCUUGCUAUUGUGCAAUCUCCAUAUGAAAUUAUGCCAUCUUCGUAUUUUGCUUUUAUACUGCUAAAAAUUCAACAAAAUAAAUCUAGUAAUGUUUUGGUUACUUUGCCCGUGAAACACUAAUAGUAGUCUGGCAUGUCUAGUCCGUAAAUUUGCAUAUAAUGUCAAUUAUGAUAAUCCACAAAGAGUACUAUUAUAAACGAACAUUUUCGCUGUUGGUCUUCACAUAUUCCAUGUGCCUUUCUAGCUUGUACAAUCUGAAACCAGUUGGACAACUGACCUAGUACAUGCUAUAUUUGCUUUCACGGAAGCUAACUGAGUUUUUUGUACAGAAUGUACAAGCAAGCAUUUCCAGCUAUCUUAAUGAGGAACUGAAUCUAAUUGAGUGAAUGUUGUGGUUAAUUAAAAUGCACAGCUUUUUUUUUUCUAAGUUGACACCUACAGGUUAGAAUGUGUAUAUGGUUUUUACCAGUAGAGGGUGUCACUUUUUUUCUUGUGAUAACAAGGUUACAUGCAUCAUUUCACGCAUGCUCCUGCUAAAUAAACAAUGGGCAAAAUUAAGGAAAUCCGAAAAUCCUCAUCUUCCCAUUCCCUUGGGCUUAAUUAAGUAUAGAAUCCAGAGUGCUUCUGGUAUAUUGUGCGGUGGAGGAGCUGGUCAUCACCCUUGCAUUUAUCAUGUCCCUCUGAAUAUGAUCUAGCGGUUCAAGAUUCAUUCGAGCAUUGUAGCUUCUGAGAUCCCGUAUUACUAGAUAUGUCCUUCCCACAUGCGAUGCACAUAUUAAAGACACAACAGAGGAGUGAAUACGCUCAGCUACCCCUGCGAAAUGUAAAUGCACCCAACAAUCCAUUGAUGAUCCGUCAAAGCAACGGCCUCCUAGCUGCGUCUCUCGCGACAAAAAAUUCGGAGAGAUGCUUACGGGCGUGCCACAGCUAGAAGACGACGACGACAGCGAUGGAUUUUUCCUACUUGCUAAACGCGAGAGAAGCGUGUAGUGGGUGUGUUGUGCAACCGAUGCCGCUCUCCGUCUGUGCAGAGCUUAUCUUCACACCUUGCUCUGUUCGUCCAUGGUUGACGGAAAGACGAGAUACGCACUGCGAGAACCGAACUUGGGCAACAAAUCAAUUAUGUCCACCCAACGCCCAAAGCAAUUAUUGAAUCGGUUGGAUGUCGCCUGGCCCGUGUAUUCAUAGAACAUUAAAUGCAGCCCUAUCCCACACCAUGGGCGUAUAAAUUGAGGUAUUUGGGAAGCUGCUAAUUAAGCUGCCCCGUAUUCCCAGAUGGCCUAUUAAAAGUAGUCAUCACGACGCACAGGCGGACGUCCUGAAUAUGGGCUGCGCGUGGCCGCAUGUCCCAAAAAUCUGCGUCGAUACCGGAACCUGCUACCUUGGCCUCACUGAUCAUAUGCUUCAUAAUAGAAACUGGAGCCGGGAUUGAUCGCCUAUUUUUCUAUAAAACGAUUAUGCUUGCAGCUUGACACGAGUACUAUCCUUCCCAAUCACCGCCAUGACUUUUGCGCCUUUGAUCAUGUAGCAUGUAGUAACAUGUACUCAGAAGUCAAAAGACAGAGCUGGUCCAAGUUAGCAUUAAGGACAUGUACAAUGGUUGAUAAAAUAAUUUUAUUUUAAAUUUUACAUGUAAUUUAAAAAUGACAAAAAAAUGUCUACAAUGAGCCAUCUUUUAGUCUUAUUUUCAAUAACUAGCCAUUCCUAAAAAUAUGGUGAGACAUAUUGUGCUAAGAGAUCAUCUCUUAUCUUUUCUUAAAUAAAAAAAGACAAGUCUUUUCUUAUGAGUUCUUUCUUCCACUCAUCAUUUGUCCUACAUGACACUUCUAAGAUAUCAUUAUUGUACAUGCCCUAAUAAAUCUCGAGCUCCAGAUUUCCUAUUCAAGUUAACAGCCAUGGUUUGGUCAGUGGCCUCCCUCGGUAGAACUAGAAGCAUCGAGUUCGAGAUACUGCGAGAUGCUGCGACCCAUUCCAAGCAGAGAAAGUGCGAGGAAUCGUUCUCCGUCACAAAAAGGGCAUCCACUAUCUAGUAAUUCCCCGAAGAAAAUCAAACCAAAUUGCUCUUGGACUUGAUAGCUAACAACGCAAUGCGCUCGCCUAUAAAUUGAUCGCCAAUUCACUCAUCCUCUCCCAUAUCUCACCCCACCCCCUCCCCUCCCCUCGCUACUAUAUCUAUCCAUGGCGGCGACACCGGUGAUGCCGGCGAAGAGCGUGGACAAGCCGCUCUUCACCGAGACGUUCAAUGUCCCGGCCAGCUCCGCCGACUACGUCACCUUCAUCAACGGCGUCCGCAACAAGCUCGGUAACCCGGGCCACUUCUCCCACAACCGCCCCGUGCUGCCGCCGGUCGAGCCCAACAUCGCGCCGAGCAGGUGGUUCCACAUCGUGCUCAAGACCUCGCCGGCUAGCACUGGGCUCACGCUCGCCACCCGCGCCGACAACCUCUACUGGGAGGGCUUCAAGAGCAGCGACGACACGUGGUGGGAGCUUACCCCGGGCCUCAUCCCCGACGCCACCUACCUCGGGUUCGGCGGCACCUACCGCGACCUCCUCGGCUACACUGACAAGCUGACCAACGUAGCUCUCGGCCGGCAGCAGAUGGCCGACGCGGUGACCGCGCUCUACGUGCGUACCAAGGCCGACAAGACCUCUGGCCCGAAGCAGCAGCAGGCGAGGGAGGCGGUGACGACGCUACUCCUCAUGGUGCACGAGGCCACGCGGUUCCAGACCGUGUCGGGGUUCGUGGCCGGCCUGCUGCACCCCAAGGCGGUGGAGAAGAAGAGCGGGAAGAUCUCCUACGAGCUAAAGGCCCAGGUGAACGGGUGGCAGGACUUAUCCGAAGAGCUGCUGAAGACGGAUGCGAAGCCCCCGCCGGGAAAGUCGCCAGCGAAGUUCACGCCGAUCGAGAAGAUGGGCGUGAGGACGGCGGAGCAGGCGGCCGCCACGCUGGGGAUCCUGCUGUUCGUCGAGGUGCCGGGUGGGUUGACGGUGGCCCAGGGGCUGCAGCUGUUUCGUGCGCGUGGGGGAAAAUAGUUAGUUUUGCAGGUAUAUCUGCAUGAGUAUAUUGUAUGUAUAAUUCGAAUAAACAUGCUACAGAGCGUGGGACUGAUAUAAAUAAAUAAAUAAACAUGUUUCAGAGUGAGUGCAUGAUAUAAAUAAAUAAAUAAACAUGUUACAAAGUGGGUGAGUUCAUGUUGUAUCCAACAAUAAAAUUGCUAUCUCCUUUUUUGCUGUCUUUGCUGUUUCUCCUCUUCCUCCUGUACUCCUUACCUCUUUCCCACCUUUUCUCUUUCACUCCUUCCCUUGUGACCUUGCACCUAGGUGCAUUUCACAAGUUUGAUGUAACAUGUUACUUUCACAGGCUUUUCAGCCUGUUUUGAAAUAUAAGGUCGGCCUUGAGCCACCUUUUCUUUCAAAACAUAAAAAUAAAAUUGCUAUCUAACAUAUGUUUUUGCUUUAGUGAGUAUCCAUUGGACAAGAAUAAAAAAACAUGAUCUAGCGCGCUUAGCCCACUGGAACCCACCUUACCCUAUUAGUUAGCCCUUCCCAUAGUGUUCUCAUGCAUGGACGAGUAGAGGGUGGCGGGCGCGUCUUUAUCUUGCCUCUAUUUUAUUUUAGAAUUUAUCUUGAAUCUAGUCUUAAAAAUUUAUCUUGCCCCUAGUUAGACUUGUUUUUAGCGGUUUUCUCUAGUGAGAUGAAAGAACGACUCGUCUCAAAGGAGCUCAUACGAGCCGGGCCAGUCGAGGGUAGUUGGUUCAUUUCUAAUGUUCUUUUGGUUCCGUUUGUUACUCCUUUUCCAUUUUCGAUUUUUAUUUUUUUAUUUUUGGAAUAUUUUAAGUAUAUAUCUUUAAAAAAAUCUUUGACUUAGAAAAGUUCACCGCAUAUUAAAACGAUCACGUAAUGAGAAAACAAUCUUCGCAUAAUUUGAUAAAAACAGUUAAUAUCAUUCAAAUAAUUGUUCAACAUAUUUAUAAAAUGUGACGCGCUGCGUAAUAUGUUCAGGCUUUUUAAAAAAUGUUUAUAGAAUGUAAAAAUUUGGUACCCUAAUUUUGCAAUAAUGUUCAUACAAGUAAAAAAAAUGUGCAUAACACUUACAAAAUAUAUUGCAAAUUUGAAAUAAACUCAUCGUAUUUAUGGAAAAUGUUCAAUGUAUUAAAAAAAUGUUCACUAUGUAUUUUAAAAAGUUGAGUGUCCAUUUGACAAAUGUUCAACAUAUAUUAAUAAAAAUGUUAAAACUUUAUUCGGAAAAUGUUCAAUGUGUAUCUGAUUUUUUUCAACCUAUAUAAAAACGUUCAAUGUGCAUUUGACAAAUGUUCAAAAUGUAUUCAGUUAAAAUGUUCAACAUGUAUGAGAAAAAAAAUGUUCAAUGGCUAUCUAAAAAUUGGACAACGUGUAAACCAAAAAUGUUCAACCUGUAGUGAAAACUUGGCACGUAUUUGAAAAAAUAAAUAAAUAAGAAAAGAAAAAACAAACAGAGAGAAAGAAAAAUGAUGAAAACACACAGAAACAAAGAAGAAGAAAAAUGCGUGGAAGAUUCUAAAACCGGCCGGAAAUAGUCCAUAGAAGAUUUUCAAAAGGGAAAGAGGAAAUAAAACCGACAUAGCCUCAUUUGCUCCUGGUGGAAACUAAGAUUGAAAGAAAAAGGUUAUAUAGUUCGGAAAAAACUGAAAGUUUUCGGCAUCCAAGAUGCUUGGGCGGACUAGGAGUGUGCAAUAUUUCUAUGGUCCAUAUUUCUUUUUGCGACGAGCUCAUCAAAUGUCAUUUUGGAUUUAAACAAUGGGGUUCAAAUCAUUGGAUGUGUAUUGAAGCAAACUAACGGUUAUUUUAGCUAUGUAAUCCAGUUAACCCCCCGUUCAAUUUUCUGUACUAGUGAUGUUUGAAGUUUCAUUGUGUACUUGUCACAAUUAGGACUGCCUUGAUGUGCGAUGUGAGAGUAAAAGAAAGAGGUUACUGCAGGUAUGAAGGCACACUACUAGUGUACAUGACAGUAAUGUGACCGGGGCACGCCACUGAUAACCAAUUUCCACCCGCCACUGAUGACGAUUUCCGCGGGGAUGGUUGCCUGAACAUGUCGCAUGUCUUUGUUUUUAUUUCUCCCUACCCGAGGCAGAACCUGCUACCUUUGCUCUGCCUGAUCAUUGGCUUCAUAACAGAAAAAUAGAGCCGAGAGUGAUCCUCCUGUUUCUCUAUGAAAGAUCAUGUUUACAGCUCGACACAAGUACAAUCCUUCUCGAUUUCUACUGUGACUUUUGCGCCUUUGAUAAUGUAACAUAUACUCAGAAUUCCAAAGACAGAACUGAUCCCUGCAUCACUAAAUCGAGACAUGACAUCCGCAGAUUUCUUAUUCAAGUUAGUGGUAGAAGGAUAGCGCUUAAGAUGCUGCGACCGAUUAAUUCCAAGCUGAGAAAGUGUGAUGAACUGAUCUUCGGCAUAAAUAAAGGGAUCAUCCACUAGUUAAUCCCCAGAAGAAAAACAUGCCGUCUCCAUUCCAGAACGAUAUUUCUGCGUAGCCGUGCAGUGCUGCAAAUCAAACCAAAUUGAAUCUUGGCAUCUCCUUCUUUGGACUAGCUAGCUAGGAAAGCAAGCAUAUGUAAAAGUGAAGGCGUGUAGGCGUAUACAUCUAGGUAAGGACGCGUGCAUGUUAUAUAGAUCAAUAGGGUUGCAAUUGGCGGCAGGUUAUUUAGUAGGACAGACCCCUAAACCAAGCAAUACAAAGAUAAGGAUCAGCUCCAAAAACGCCUUCGUGUAAGCAUACGCACACACAUCACGUAGUAGUAUUAGGAUUGACCUUAAGUCAAGCUAUACAAAGAUAAGGAUCAUCUCUGACAACCUGCCUUGUAUACAACACACAAGCACAGCAUCACGUACAAGUUACAUAUGAUACGUACACGUAUACAAAGCCUAUCAUUUGACAGCAUGCACCUGUCGAUCGCCUAUAAAUUCAUCUCCAGUUCGUUCAUCCUCUUCCAUAUCUCAACCCCUCUCGCUUGAUAGUACGUCUCAUCUAAGCCUCGUAUCCAUGGCGGCAAAGAUGGCGAAGAACGUGGACAAGCCGCUCUUCACGGCGACGUUCAACGUCCAGGCCAGCUCUGCCGACUAUGUCACCUUCAUCAACGGCAUCCGCAACAAGCUCCGCAACCCGGGGCACUCCUCCCACAACCGCCCCGUGCUGCCGCCGAUCGAGCCCAACGUCCCGCCGAGCAGGUGGUUCCACAUCGUGCUCAAGACAUCGCCGGCAAGCACCGGGCUCACGCUCGCCACCCGCGCCGACAACCUCUACUGGGAGGGCUUCAAGAGCAGCGACGGCACCUGGUGGGAGCUCACCCCCGGACUCAUCCCCGGCGCCACCCACGUUGGGUUCGGCGGCACGUAUCGCGACCUCCUCGGCGACACCGACAAGCUGACCAACGUCGCUCUCGGCCGGCAGCAGAUGGCGGACGCGGUGACCGCGCUCUACGGGCGCACCAAGGCCGACAAGACCUCCGGCCCGAAGCAGCAGCAGGCGAGGGAGGCGGUGACGACGCUGCUCCUCAUGGUGCACGAGGCCACGCGGUUCCAGACCGUGUCGGGGUUCGUGGCUGGAGUGCUGCACCCCAAGGAGAAGAAGAGCGGGAAGAUCGGCAAUGAGAUGAAGGCCCAGGUGAACGGAUGGCAGGACCUGUCCGAAGCGCUGCUGAAGACGGACGCGAAGCCCCCGCCGGGAAAGGCGCCAGCGAAGUUCACGCCGAUCGAGAAGAUGGGCGUGAGGACGGCGGAGCAGGCGGCCGCCACCCUAGGGAUCCUGCUGUUCGUCCAGGUGCCCGGUGGGAUGACGGUGGCCCAGGCGCUGGAGCUGUUUCAUAAGAGUGGGGGGAAAUAGGUAGUAGUUGUGCAGGUAUAUCUGCAUGGGUAUUGUACAAGUCGAAUAAACAUGUCACAGAGCGACUGAAUGAUAUAAAUAAAUAAAUGUCACAGAGUCAGUGAAUGAUAUGAAUAAAUAAACAUGUCUAGUUUAUAUUGGGUCCAACCAUAGAAUUGCUAUCCAACAUAUGUUUUGCAUAUGCACAUAUCAGAAGCGCGAACUAUGUUCAUCCUUUUAGACUCCCAGGGGCUCAUUUGGUCGUUGGGGUGAAAAAACCAUGGGUAGUAAACUCCCCUAGGGGAUUUCCCUGCUCAUAUGAGAUCCUCCUCCUGCCAUGUGAAAUAUCCCAUUGCCAUUUGGGCACCAAGGGAGAGUGAAGAGAGUGAAGGGAGAAGAGCAGAAGAACAGAGCGCCAAGGCGACUCAGAUCACAAGAAAAGAGACGAGGGGAGCCCGGGAGAAUUCUCCUGGAGUGCGGAGGUCGGAGCGAGCGGCCCGGGGAUUUCGGGAGGAUCGGGCCGAGAAAGCCCUUUCCACGAUGUUACCAAAUGGAUCGCCUGAAAAUCCGGGGUGUAGAUUGCAGGCGGGUCUCUCGCCCGAGGAAAGGACAGGUAUCCUGGCAGCAAUGCUACAUUCACGGACUAAUACGGGGGGUUUACGAAGUGUUUGUGACUUGUUAGAUGUUGAUUGGAUUAAGGGGGAGGAAGAGGCCCCACCCACCUGAAAAUCAGGAGGGUGAAAAAGAAUUAGAAGGAAGGGUCCGUAAUGCCCCCGUAAUGAGCCUGUGUGUUUAGCAUUUUUGGUAUCCCGGGGGAUCCAUGGUAACCAACUAGUGUACCACAAAUUCCCCUCCAGAAAAUCUACAUAUUUUAGUACUUUUUGGCCAGAAAAUUCUCACACUUACAUACACGGUUAUAUUGUUUUUCUUUAUUUAAAAGGGAGGAAAGCCCCACAUAAUGAUGCAUGCAGCCAAUUUAUUAACCAAAAGUAUGCAAACGGAGUCUAAGGGCCAGUACUGGCUCACAAAAGGAGCACAAGAACAGUAAAGAUAAAAAGAUGCCACAGCCGACGAAAAAACAAGUUAAGAUGACUAAACACCUAGCCUAUUAUUAGUUCGCCAUUUAAAUUGGUUGGAGAUAACCCGUGCUAUCGUCUCCCAAUGGUUGCACCCAGUAACCAAAAGCCCCCUAGAGUCCGCAUGGGUGAGUAACGACCACGUACGGAUCCAAGCAGUGGCUAUGUGGAUAACCUGCAAAAGUUGAUAAAGUUUUUUCCAUUAAAGAUCAUAUCACCUUUGCAGUUUCAUAUAGCCCAAAACAAUGCACAUAUCCCUAUCCGAAUAUGUCCUGCAAUAUUUGAAUCCGCUCCAUUUAGCCAUGUCCCAAAUAACGUGUUACUAAUUGAAGGAUUAAUGUUGAAGUCUAUAUGUAUCGUACGCCAUACAAGUUUGGCUUAUAUUGUGCCAUUUCAAUAUUUUAUUUGUCGAUUUUAUGUUUAUAUACAGUUGGUAUUCAUUGAAUAGGUGGAUUUCCUGGGAGAGAAGGUGCAAAGCUUCAAGGCCAGACCCCACAAGGAGUUGAUGACUCAGUAUAGCAACCCUGACGAGAUUGGGACAGUACCCCGCCGGAGACAGGGACAACGCGGUUGUUCUAGUGCCACUGGUUCCUGCGAGGGCGAGGGUUCACAUGUUUGGGGUGCUUUUUUACAAUCCACAUGUUUGGAGGUGUUAAGGGCAUCUCCAACCACGACCCAUAAAUUUUCUCCUGCAUUCGUCUGGGACAGGGGGAAGGGGCAGUCCGUGGACAUGGAUGCAGGAGGGGGCCAUCCAACGCUGCCCGAAGACAUUUCAACCUGCAUUUCAACUAGCUGGACGAAAUUCAUGUACACCGGCUCCAGGGUGGACAGCGCUGUCAUAAAGGCCAGUGGGCGUGUCGGUGCUGGUUGCGGACGUCCGGCAAUGCCACUGUGGCGGCCCUAGACGUACAACGGCAGCAGCAGAGGUGGAGCGUGCAGAUGCAAAGCAAGGGGGAGAAGGGUGCGGAGUGGAAGGAAAUGAAACCGAGAGGGUGAUUGGGUGGGCCGGGGGUGUCGGUUUCCUACAUGGCUGCUGCUGGUUUGAACUUUUUUUAUUAACUUGAACAAAAAUAUCUGUAUUUCGAAAAAUGUUGACGAAUUUGAAAAAUGUUUCUGGAUUUUAGAAACUGUUCAUUAAUUUGAAAAAAGUGAUCACAAGUUUGAAAAAAUGUUUCCUCAUUUUUGAAAAUGUUCCUGAAUUUCACAAAAUGUCCCUGCAUUUUAGAGAAUGUUCAAAAAAUUAAAAUAUGGGGCAUAUUCCUUUUAUGCUUUUACUCCUACAUUUUAUACGAAAUUGUAAAAAAUGUUAAAAAAAUAGAGAAAAGAAAAAAGGAAAGAAAAAUAAAAUGGGAAGCUUAUAGAAAAAACAUAAAAGGAAAAAAAGGGUCUAUGAAGGUUCUAGUACUUUUCUAUAAACGGGGAACACACUAAAAACCUCGAACUGGGCUGGCACAAUAUAGUGCCUACAAUUGCGUGAGGGUGUGCCUUUGCUCGCUAACUGUUGACCUAUGCUGGGAUUCAGAAUUAUCGUCUUUAUCUUGCCUCUAGUGAGAUUUUUUUUCUUGAGAAUUCUCGCCCAACUUCAUUGGUGAAUCAAAAUGUUCUAGUGAGAUGGAAGAAAAACUCGUCACAAGGGAGUUCAUGGCGGCCGGCCAGUCCGGAGUUGUUGGUUUGGUUCAUUCAUUCCUUUUAUUCAUUUGGUUUCGUCUUUUUACUUUUACUUUUUUCCUUACUUAUUUUUAUUUAUUUUUGAAAAUAUUUGACUUAAUUUCAAAAAAAUCACUGUGCAUUACAAGUUAUGGAGGUGAUGUGGAAGGUACUCGACCAUUCAUCGCCUGAAGAUGAAGGAACUCAAGUGCAAUACAGCCGCGGAGCAGGCGCUCCAUGUCAUCCUUUGGGUUGCGGACGGCAACGAGUUCGAGGUGCUUCAGUCGUAGUAGAAAAAGAGCGGGCGCGUCAUUAAGGGGAUGGCAGUUGAUGAACUUGGCGAGGCGCAGCGUGGGUGCGAAGCGGAGCACGGAUGUUGGCAGCGAGUGCAUAUGCCCAUUAUUAAAAAUGAGCUUCUCGAGCUGAUCUAUGGCGGGGGAUCGUAAUCCCUCGUCAAGCUUGGCUCGGUCCUUCCCAUUGGAACGGAACUUGCCCGUGAUAAGGUCUCUGAUUGGGCCAUGGUGACUGCCGAGGAUCGAGGAGAAUGCAUCCAAGCUUUUGCGAUAGCCAUGGCAGAGCUCGUCAGCGUCGAGGUGGUCGACAGGGGUGAGGAGCCUUAGGGGCGCCACCGCCAGGAAAGGGCGGCUGUCCUUGCCCCAUAUUUGAUUGGGGGGAGGAAUAUGAUGACUCUCAACAUAUCAUCGGGGAUGUUUUUGAUGAAGUCUAGGUCUACUGGAGUCGCUUGCGGUUCUUUCUCGACCCGCCUCCGCUUGUUGGCAGCCUCGUUCUCCACCUCGGCGGCGGCGACGGAAACCUCUAUCUCCAUAUUCACGCCAUGCUCCGGUGCACAUUGAGGACUGAGAGCGGCGUCGAGGAUGCGGGUGGAGAGAGAGGAUUGUGUGUGUGGCAAGGAUGGGGGGUGCGGCCGCUCGGGCGCGCCAUUAAUACAGACCAGUGGGAGCGAGCCGGGUGGCGGUCAAAGGUUGUCUCGCUUCCUGAUGAGCCUGCGCGGCGGACUUCUAGCAUUCUUAUACCAUCAUUUCAUAGAGCGAGGCGGACGCGCCAUUAAUAUGGAGGAGUGGGAGCAAGGUGGGCGGCGGUCAAAGGGCUGGCUCGCCUCCCAGUGAGCCUGCGUGGCGAACUACUGGCACGCCUACCGUCGUUUCACACAACUACUAGCACGCCCCAUACGGUGAGUGCGUACCAAACACGCGCAUGAAUUAGAUAGUGGUAGUGAUUUUAGUUGCAAAAAUGAGAUAGUGCUAGUGAUUUUUAGCUGCAUAUUUUGACAAAUCGCAUUGUCUCUUGGCUUAGCGCCGAAGUCUAGCUUUAAUUUGCAUACCGUAUUCAAUCUAAACCGUUUGCGUUGAAGAGAUGCACAAAUCCUGUGUUAAACAGCUCGCACGCUUCCCGGUGAGCCUCUCGGUCAGCCUACGCACCGGACUGCACUCGCACGCCUCCCAUUCAGUCAAGCAGCUGUCCGCACGGCACCUCCUAUAGCCAUUAAAACCAAGACACGUGGCAUCAUGUAAAUGCUUAAGAGAACGCACACGAUUUGAAUUAUACAAACGUUUGAGAUAUUAAAGUGGCAGCUAUUUGUUUCAAAAUGCCUUUGUUGGCUGUUAUUCGAGUGCAUCUUCUCUCAAAAUGGACACCAAAAACACCACAGCAUGUCAGUGCCAUUACAUGAUAGUAUGCCAAGUUCCAUGAAUUUCAGACGAGUUUUGGAUUUAGUAGAAUUUAGAAACAAAGUAUCUCAAUGUUUUGCCGGCAAUCAGCGGUGCCCUGGUGUUUGAAAUUCAUUUCCAUUUCUUGCAUGAGACCUAAGCAUGCACCCAAGGACACAGAUUUGAUUUUUCAACCAAUUUAUAUGCAUUGAAGCACGUGCAUGUAGUUCAAACUUGAAUUAUGCACAUAAAUGCAUCGAACACUCAAUUAAUGCAUAAAAAUGUCCAAACGAACCCCGAAAAUCUCAAAAAUUGACACAACACUCCUGUUGUUCUCUGUUGAGACUAGAAAUUUUUUGAAAGCAAUAAGAAGAAGCAGAUAUUGUUUCGUCCCCUAAGGUGAGACGUUCCCUACCGAAACCAUCAGGCUUGUUGUGAGAAGCUUAUACCCAAACCUGCCCUAAAUGGGACAAAAAAAUUACCACGGCAUGUUGAUGCCGCUCCAUGAUAGCAUGCCAAGUUUCAUGAAUUUCAUAUGAGUUUUGGAUUUACUAGAAUUUAAAAACAAGGAAUCUCAAUGUCUGCAGCCGAGUGACGGUGGUAGGGUGUUUGACAUUCGUUCCCAUUUUCUGCAUGGGACCUAAGCAUGCAACCAAGGACACAUAUUUGAAUUUUCAACCAAUUUAUAUGCAUUAGAGCAUGUGCCUAUAGUUCAAAUUUGAAUUAUGCACAUGAAUGCAUAGAAAACUCAGUUAAUGCAUAAAAAUGUCCAAACAAACCCCGAAAAUCCCAAAAAUUGACACAACACUCGUGUUGUUCUAUGUUGACACUAGAAAUUUUUUGAAAGCAAUAAGAGGCAGCGGAUACCGUUUCAUCCCCAAAGGUGGGACUUUCCCUACCGAAACCAUCAGGCUUGUUGUGAGAAGCUCUGAUUUGUGAGAAGCAUAUCUCCAAACCGGCCCCAAAUGGGACAAAAAUAUUACCACGGCAUGUUGUUGCCGCUCCAUGAUAGCAUGCCAAGUUUCAUGAAUUUCAGACGAGUUUUGCAUUUAUUAGAAUCUAAAAACUAGGUAUCUCAAAGUUUGCGGCCGAGUGACGGUGGCAGGGUGUUUGAUAUUCAUUCCCAUUUCUUGCAUGGGACCUAAUUAAGCAUGCAACCAAGGACAUAAAUUUGGAUUUUCAACCAAUUUAUAUGCAUUAGAGCAUGUGCGUGUAGUUCACAUUUGAAAUAUGCACAUGAACACAUAGAAUCAGUUAAUGUAUAAAAAUGUCCAAGCGAACACCCAAAAAUCCAAAAAAUUGACACAAACACUCCUGUUGUUCUAUGUUGACACUAGGAAAAAAGUUGAAAUCAAGAAGAGGCAAUGGAUUUCGUUUUGUCCAGAAAGGUGAAACAUUCCCUACCAAAACUAUCGGGCUUGUUGUGAGAAGCAUAUCCCCAAACCUGCCCCAAAUGGGACAAAAAAAAUUACCACGACAUGUUGAUGCCGCUCCAUGAUAGCAUGCCAAGUUUCAUGAAUUUUAGACGAGCUUUGGAUUCACUAGAAUUUAAAAACCAGGUAUCUCAAUGUUUGCGGCUGACUGACGGUGGCAGGGUGUUUGACAUUUGUUCCCAUUUCUUGCAUGGGACCUAAUAAGCAUGCAACCAAGGACACAGAUUUGAAUUUCCAACUAAUUUAUAUGCAUUAGAGCAUGUGCAUGUAGUUCAAAUUUGAAUUAUGCACAUGAAUGCAUAGAAAACUCAGUUAAUGUAUAAAAAUGUCCAAGCGAACCCCCAAAAAUCCCAAAAAUUGACACAACACUCCUGUUGUUCUAUUUUGACAAUAAGAAAAAAAAAUAAAAUCGAGAAGAGGCAAUGGAUAUCGUUUCAUCCAGAAAGGUGAAACGUUCCCUACCGAAACCAUCGGGCUUGUUGUGAGAAGCUCUGGUUUGUGAGAAGCAUAUCCCCAAACCUGCCCCAAAUGGGACAAAAAAUUUACCACAGCAUGUUGAUGCCGCUCCAUUACAGCAUGCCAAGUUUCAUGGAUUUCAGACGAACUUUGGAUUUACUAGAAUUUAAAAACCAGGUAUCUCAAUGUUUGCGUCCGAGUGACGGUGGUAGGGUGUUUGACAUUCGUUCCCAUUUCUUGCAUGGGACCUAAUAAGCAUGCAACCAAGGACACAUAUUUGAAUUUUCAACUAAUUUAUAUGCAUUAGAGCAUGUGCAUGUAGUUCAGAUUUGAAUUAUGCACAUGAAUGCAUAGAAAACUCAGUUAAUGUAUAAAAAUGUCCAAGCGAACCCUGAAAAAUCCCAAAAAUUGACACAACACUCCUGUUGUUCUAUGUUGACACUAAGAAAAAAUUUGAAAUCGAGAAGAUGCAACGGAUAUCAUUUCGUCCAGAAAGGUGAAACGUUCCCUACCGAAACCAUCAUACUUUUUGUGAGAGAAGCUAUGGUUUGCGAGAAGCUUAUACCAUAACCUGGCCUAAAUGGGACAAUAUUUUUUUACCCCAGCAUCUUGAUGUUGUUCCAUGAUAGCAUGCCAAGGUUCAUGAAUUUCAGACGAGUUUUCUAUUUACUAGAAUUACAAAAGCAAGCACCUCAACAUUUGCCGGAGACCCACGGUGCCGUGGUGUUUGAAAUUCAUCCCAUUUCUUGAAUGGGACGUAAGCAUCAACCCAAGGAAACAUAUAUCAUUUUACAACCCAUUUUGGUGCACCGGAGCAUGUGCAUGUGGUUUCAUUUUGAAUUGUGCACCUGAAAUGCCUAGAAAACCAAGUUACCGUAUAAAAAUGUCCAAACGAACCCUGAAUAAUUCCAAAUUUUUUGACGACGCACCUAUAGUUGCAUGUUCACUAUAGAUAGAAGUUCUCGCAAAUCAAACACCAUCCUUUGGAGCUGUGACCCCAUUAUGUAAUUUAAAUCAAGAUGAAAAAUCAAGUAGAUCUCACACAGUUUAUUAUCAACAACUGUGUGAGAUGCAGUACAAAAUAUCCUGGAGCACCGUCGGUGUAUAGUACACCUAUGGCUUACUCGAGAAGGUUCGUUGGCUACAGUCCACAGCCCGCUCUGAAUAAGGGGCCAUGUCUGAUGACACUUUGCGCGCCAGUUUUUUUGCUGAAGCGAUUCCAAAUUUUCGGCUUCCGCGGAAAUAUCUACCUCCCCGCCCCCUCCACCUUACCAAAAGCCACAUUUCCCCUGUUUCCUCCUUCCUUUCCAAGUUGAAACCUUCACUCCUUGGUUGCAGCGCUGCCUCCUCGCCGACGACCCUCCUUCAUGCUGCUCGGCCUCGCCUAUCCAGGCAGGUAAUCCAGACCCGAGCCCCAUCCACCUCCUCCUUCCACAUCCCACAUGCCUCGACCGCCGGCACGAGCGCGACACCUUCCACCAAAAUCACCGACCCCUCCACCAAAUAAGUGCCGUCCUAAGCCAUGGUGUAUGCAGUAUAGCUAGCAUCUCAAGGAGCAUUUGGCAGCGGACAAGCAUAUCACGACCACACGCGCGGAUGAGGUCGUGAUGGCUGCCAUUCGUGUCAACCUCCAGAUCUUGGAGGAGCACCUCGUUGUCGAGGCCACCAUCAACGCCUCGCACACCGACGUCGUGGCGCGGCUGGCUGCUUUGAACGACAGUUCAUGGCGUUUUCUCGAGGCCACUGUCGGUGCCUUUGACGAAGACUACCAGGUGUUUUCUCGGUGUGCACGUGCUUACCUCAUCUCGAGAGCUAGCAGGUUGGUUCCCGGAGCGGCUCAGGCAACUCACCACUACAACGAGGGCACCCACGAUGCGGAGGACUCGCCCUCUUCCAUGUCCAAGGAGCCAAUCGUCAUUGAUAUCUCCGACAAUGAGUAGUUUGUCUUAUUAGCUCACUAUAAGGACCCAUGUUCACUUUGCUAGCUAUUGCCUUUCCUUAACAAAUUCUAGUGAAUUGUGCUAUCUACUUUUACCAUGCAAUCUUCUGCUCUAGUGUAUAUGUUUUAUAUGUCAUGCAAUGUGGUGUUCAGUUAACUGUUUGGUUCAAUUCUGCAAAUGUGAUGUUCAAUUCUUUAGGAUGCAAUUUUCCAAGUUGUCAAGCAUGCUUGGUUUGGUUAACUAUUUGAUCUUCUAUUAGGAGUAUGUUAUAUUGUGCAUUAUGGUGCUCAGUUGACAUUUGGUUCAUUUGUUGUGGUGUUUAGUUAACUGUUUGGUUCAAUUCUUGAAUGCAAUGUUCAAUUAUUGUGUGUGCAUUCUGUUAUUGUAUACCAUGUGAGAAAUAAAUUGAAUUUGGCUGUUCUAAAUACAUGAGAAACAAAUACAGUUGCUAUAUUUACAAGUUGUUAAGCAUGCUUGGUUUGGUUAAUUGUCUGAUCUUCUAUUAGGAGUAUGUUAUAUUAUGCAAUGUGGUGCUCAGUUAACAUUUGGUUCAUUUGUUGUGGUGUUUAGUUAACUGUUUGGUUCAAUUCUGCAAUGCGAUGUUCAAUUAUUGUGUGUGCAUUCUGUUAUUGUAUACCAUGUGAGAAAUCAAUCGAAUUUGGGUGUACUAAAUACAUGAGAAACAAAUACAAUUGCUAUAUUUCCAAGUUGUUAAGCAUGCCUGGUUUGGUUAACUAUCUGAUCUUCUAUUAGGAGUAUGUUAUAUUUGUGCAAUGUGGUGCUCGGUUAACGGUUGGUUCCUUUGUUGUGGUGUUUAGUUAACUGCUUGGUUCAAUUCGGCAAUGCGAUGUUCAAUUGUUGUGGCUGCAUUCUGUUAUUGUAUGCUAUUAUACCUUGUCUUUUUUAUUCCUUUGCCCCAUUUCUAGUAUAGAGAAGAUAUUUAUGCACAUCCUUGUUUUCAGGCCUUUCCAAAACAGUUCACUGAUGAUUACCUCUCAAACCACCUGUAUGGACGGUCAAUCAUCCACAGGCGCUGGCCUAAAGUUGCAAAGACCUUCAACACCAAUGAAGGCUCAAUAUUCGCCUUCCGCUUCCGCAGUUUUCCCGAUGAGAUGCAUUUGUCUAUGUACCGUCUAUGAUGCUAAUUUCGAAAGGUUUUAGAUGUUGCAUGUGAAACUUGGUGCUGGUGCUGUUGUGUAACGGGGUAGCUGAGUGCUGAAGUUAUAUCAUGUUGUACUCUAAUGUAUUUCAAUUAUGAAAUCAUGCUUCCUUAAUAUGGGAAUGAAAUAUAAUAUGUGUUUAAUAUGAAUGUCAAUUAGAUUAAUAAAUGGAUUAUUAAUAAUAAGGAAAUUAGCCUGCUAAUUGGUUUUUGCUAUUGCAAACAGUUAUUGAGAAAAUACCGUGGGCGAUGACCUAAGGCAACGCACACAGUUUCUAGCAAUAAACCAUGUUGGAUCGAUGAGCAAUCACACACAACAUUCUCUUCAAAACUGUUUGCGUUAGGCCACCUUGAGCAAACGUUUACCACAUAAAAGCUGUUUGUGAUGGAUAGCAUUUGCCACACAGUUUAUUAUACACACCAUGUGUGAUGCAUUCAUGGCAAACGAUAAAAUUAUUAGUAUUGUGUGCGAUGGGAAGGCCAUCACAAACGAUUUAACGGGGGAAAUUGUGUGUGAUGUACCUACGAACGGAAACGUUUUCCUUGCAGCGACUAUGUGGGAUGUAUACACGACCGAAAACGUUUCGCGGGGACUGACCGUGUGCGAUGAAAUUACAACCAGAAAUGAUUUUGCCUGUAUAAUUGUAUUUUUUAGCACUACUAUACGUAUAACCGUAUUUGCUCGCUCGCCAGUCGCACACGACCUCAAAUUGCCGAGCGUGUGUGCCAGGAGGGCAUAUCCCCGACGAUUUCUGGGUCAUGUGGGAAGGACCCCCCUAUCGCCCACACUCACUAAUUGACGGUUCUGAAUGCCGUCGAGGAAAGGAGUUACAAACCAUUUGUAUAGCACCGACACGUACCAGUGUUACCUUUCCUUUCUUUGGGUGAAUUAGUGUCUGCUGGGCUAGUUGCCUGAACCUGUCGUGUGUCGUUGUUUUUAUUUCUCUAUACCGGAACCGAUAAAUCGCGAGUGGACAUGCCACCACGCGCGUCCAAAAUCCACACCGCACGCUGCAGCGGUAUGCGUGCAGCUUUAAUACCCUCUGGCCGUAUAAAGAAUUUGCCUCGUCAUAUAGCAUUCCGUAUAGCGUGUGUAUUUUCACCUGACACAUGCAGUGCAUGGCCCGCGAGGCAGCGCGUGCAUUAAUCCCACACCCAGCAGCCCAACGACAAUAAUUCAACUAUCUGGCAGCCCAUAUGCGGGCAACGUAUCUGGUGAUACCGCAACUCAAGUGAUGCAAUGCUCUGAUGGAUCAUGGGUCUUUCGAUUAUGUUGGAAGGGACGCGAUGAAGGCACACAUGAUGAGCAGCCUCUCCAUCGCAGAAUAUACAAAAACACUCUGAUUCAUGUUUUUAGUUAAGCAUCGGGCCCUUUUCCUAGUAGUACUGUACUAGUUUAUGAGCCUCAGUUUCACUUACGGGCAGAAAAAAGGCUUAGUUUCAUUGCCCAGACACAGAAACUUAAACCUGGUUUUCGCUCAUGUCUUGCUAUUGUGCAAUCCCCAUAUGAAAUUAUGCCAUCUUCGUAUUUUGCUUUUAUACUGCUAAAAGUUCAACAAAAUAAAUCUAGUAAUGUUUUGGUUACUUUGCCCGUGAAACACUAAUAGUAGUCUGGCAUGUCUAGUCCGUAAAUUUGCAUAUAAUGUCAAUUAUGAUAAUCCACAAAGAGUACUAUUAUAAACGAACAUUUUCGCUGUUGGUCUUCACAUAUUCCAUGUGCCUUUCUAGCUUGUACAAUCUGAAACCAGUUGGACAACUGACCUAGUACAUGCUAUAUUUGCUUUCACGGAAGCUAACUGAGUUUUUUGUACAGAAUGUACAAGCAAGCAUUUCCAGCUAUCUUAAUGAGGAACUGAAUCUAAUUGAGUGAAUGUUGUGGUUAAUUAAAAUGCACAGCUUUUUUUUCUAAGUUGACACCUACAGGUUAGAAUGUGUAUAUGGUUUUUACCAGUAGAGGGUGUCACUUUUUUUCUUGUGAUAACAAGGUUACAUGCAUCAUUUCACGCAUGCUCCUGCUAAAUAAACAAUGGGCAAAAUUAAGGAAAUCCGAAAAUCCUCAUCUCCCCAUUCCCUUGGGCUUAAUUAAGUAUAGAAUUCAGAGUGCUUCUGGUAUAUUGUGCGGUGGAGGAGCUGGUCAUCACCCUUGCAUUUAUCAUGUCCCUCUAAAUAUGAUCUAGCGGUUCAAGAUUCAUUCGAGCAUUGUAGCUCCUGAGAUCCCGUAUUACUAGAUAUGUCCUCCCCACAUGCGAUGCACAUAUUAAAGACACAACAGAGGAGUGAAUACGCUCAGCUACCCCUGCGAAAUGUAAAUGCACCCAACAAUCCAUUGAUGAUCCGUCAACGCAACGGCCUCCUAGCUGCGUCUCUCGCGACAAAAAAUUCGGAGAGAUGCUUACGGGCGUGCCACAGCUAGAAGACGACGACGACAGCGAUGGAUUUUUCCUACUUGCUAAACACGAGAGAAGCGUGUAGUGGGUGUGUUGUGUAACCGAUGCCGCUCUCUGUCUGUGCAGAGCUUAUCUUCACACCUUGCUCUAUUCGUCCAUGGUUGACGGAAAGACGAGAUACGCACUGCGAGAACCGAACUUGGGCAACAAAUCAAUUAUGUCCACCCAACGCCCAAAGCAAUUAUUGGAUCGGUUGGAUGUCGCCUGGCCCGUGUAUUCAUAGAACAUUAAAUGCAGCCCUAUCCCACACCAUGGGCGUAUAAAUUGAGGUAUUUGGGAAGCUGCUAAUUAAGCUGCCCCGUAUUCCCAGAUGGCCUAUUAAAAGUAGUCAUCACGACGCACAGGCGGACGUCCUGAAUAUGGGCUGCGCGUGGCCGCAUGUCCCAAAAAUCCGCGUCGGUACCGGAACCUGCUACCUUGGCCUCACUGAUCAUAUGCUUCAUAAUAGAAACUGGAGCCGGGAUUGAUCGCCUAUUUUUCUAUAAAACGAUUAUGCUUGCAGCUUGACACGAGUACUAUCCUUCCCAAUCACCGCCAUGACUUUUGCGCCUUUGAUCAUGUAGCAUGUAGUAACAUGUACUCAGAAGUCAAAAGACAGAGCUGGUCCAAGUUAGCAUUAAGGACAUGUACAAUGGUUGAUAAAAUAAUUUUAUUUUAAAUUUUACAUGUAAUUUAAAAAUGACAAACAAAAGGUCUACAAUGAGCCAUCUUUUAGUUUUAUUUUCAAUAACUAGCCAUUCCUAAAAAUAUGGUGAGACAUAUUGUGCUAAGAGAUCAUCUCUUAUCUUUUCUUAAAUAAAAAAAGACAAGUCUUUUCUUAUGAGUUCUCUCUUCCACUCAUCAUUUGUCCUACUUGACACUUCUAAGAUAUCAUUAUUGUACAUGCCCUAAUAAAUCUCGAGCUGCAGAUUUCCUAUUCAAGUUAACAGCCAUGGUUUGGUCAGUGGCCUCCCUCGGUAGAACUAGAAGCAUCGAGUUCGAGAUACUGCGAGAUGCUGCGACCCAUUCCAAGCAGAGAAAGUGCGAGGAAUCGUUCUUCGCCACAAAAAGGGCAUCCACUAUCUAGUAAUUCCCCGAAGAAAAUCAAACCAAAUUGCUCUUGGACUUGAUAGCUAACAACGCAAUGCGCUCGCCUAUAAAUUGAUCGCCAAUUCACUCAUCCUCUACCAUAUCUCACCCCACCCCCUCCCCUCCCCUCGCUACUAUAUCUAUCCAUGGCGGCGACACCGGUGAUGCCGGCGAAGAGCGUGGACAAGCCGCUCUUCACCGAGACGUUCAAUGUCCCGGCCAGCUCCGCCGACUACGCCACCUUCAUCAAUGGCGUCCGCAACAAGCUCGGUAACCCGGGCCAUUUCUCCCACAACCGCCCCGUGCUGCCGCCGGUCGAGCCCAACGUCGCGCCGAGCAGGUGGUUCCACAUCGUGCUCAAGACCUCGCCGGCUAGCACUGGGCUCACGCUCGCCACCCGCGCCGACAACCUCUACUGGGAGGGCUUCAAGAGCAGCGACGACACGUGGUGGGAGCUUACCCCGGGCCUCAUCCCCGGCGCCACCUACCUCGGGUUCGGCGGCACCUACCGCGACCUCCUCGGCUACACUGACAAGCUGACCAACGUAGCUCUCGGCCGGCAGCAGAUGGCCGACGCGGUGACCGCGCUCUACGGGCGUACCAAGGCCGACAAGACCUCUGGCCCGAAGCAGCAGCAGGCGAGGGAGGCGGUGACGACGCUGCUCCUCAUGGUGCACAAGGCCACGCGGUUCCAGACCAUGUCGGGGUUCGUGGCCGGCCUGCUGCACCCCAAGGCGGUGGAGAAGAAGAGUGGGAAGAUCUCCGACGAGCUAAAGGCCCAGGUGAACGGGUGGCAGGACUUAUCCGAAAAGCUGCUGAAGACGGAUGCGAAGCCCCCGCCGGGAAAGUCGCCAGCGAAGUUCACGCCGAUCGAGAAGAUGGGCGUGAGGACGGCGGAGCAGGCGGCCGCCACGCUGGGGAUCCUGCUGUUCGUCGAGGUGCCGGGUGCGUUGACGGUGGCCCAGGGGCUGCUGCUGUUUCGUGCGCGUGGGGGAAAAUAGUUAGUUUUGCAGGUAUAUCUGCAUGAGUAUAUUGUAUGUAUAAUUCGAAUAAACAUGCUACAGAGCGUGGGACUGAUAUAAAUAAAUAAAUAAACAUGUUUCAGAGUGAGUGCAUGAUAUAAAUAAAUAAAUAAACAUGUUACAAAGUGGGUGAGUUCAUGUUGUAUUCAACAAUAAAAUUGCUAUCUCCUUUUUUGCUGUCUUUGCUGUUUCUCCUCUUCCUCCUGUACUCCUUACCUCUUUCCCACCUUUUCUCUUUCACUCCUUCCCUUGUGACCUUGCACCUGGGUGCAUUUCACAAGUUUGAUGUAACAUGUUACUUUCACAGGCUUUUCAGCCUGUUUUGAAAUAUAAGGUUGGCCUUGAGCCACCUUUUCUUUCAAAACAUAAAAAUAAAAUUGCUAUCUAACAUAUGUUUUUGCUUUAGUGAGUAUCCAUUGGACAAGAAUAAAAAAACAUGAUCUAGUGCGCUUAGCCCACUGGAACCCACCUUACCCUAUUAGUUAGCCCUUCUCAUAGUGUUCUCAUGCAUGGACGAGUAGAGGGUGGCGGGCGCGUCUUUAUCUUGCCUCUAUUUUAUUUUAGAAUUUAUCUUGAAUCUAGUCUUAAAAAUUUAUCUUGCCCCUAGUUAGACUUGUUUUUAGCGGUUUUCUCUAGUGAGAUGAAAGAACGACUCGUCUCAAAGGAGCUCAUACGAGCCGGGCCAGUCGAGGGUAGUUGGUUCAUUUCUAAUGUUCUUUUGGUUCCGUUUGUUACUCCUUUUCCAUUUUCGAUUUUUUUUUGGAAUAUUUUAAGUAUAUAUCUUUGAAAAAAAUCUUUGACUUAGAAAAGUUCACCGCGUAUUAAAACGAUCACGUAAUGAGAAAACAAUCUUCGCAUAAUUUGAUAAAAACAGUUAAUAUCAUUCAAAUAAUUGUUCAACAUAUUUAUAAAAUGUGACGCGUUGCGUAAUAUGUUCAGGCUUUUUAAAAAAUGUUUAUAGAAUGUAAAAAUUUGGUACCCUAAUUUUGCAAUAAUGUUCAUACAAGUAAAAAAAAUGUUCAUAACACUUACAAAAUAUAUUGCAAAUUUGAAAUAAACUCAUCGUAUUUAUGGAAAAUGUUCAAUGUAUUAAAAAAAUGUUCACUAUGUAUUUUAAAAAGUUGAGUGUUCAUUUGACAAAUGUUCAACAUAUAUUAAUAAAAAUGUUAAAACUUUAUUCGGAAAAUGUUCAAUGUGUAUCUGAUUUUUUUCAACCUAUAUAAAAACGUUCAAUGUGCAUUUGACAAAUGUCCAAAAUGUAUUCAGUUAAAAUGUUCAACAUGUAUGAGAAAAAAAUGUUCAAUGGCUAUCUAAAAAUUGGACAACGUGUAUACCAAUAAUGUUCAACCUGUAGUGAAAACUUGGCACGUAUUUGAAAAAAUAAAUAAAUAAGAAAAGAAAAAACAAACAGAGAGAAAGAAAAAUGAUGAAAACACACAGAAACAAAGAAGAAGAAAAAUGCAUGGAAGAUUCUAAAACCGGCCGGAAAUAGUCCAUAGAAGAUUUUCAAAAGGGAAAGAGGAAAUAAAACCGACAUAGCCUCAUUUGCUCCUGGUGGAAACUAAGAUUGAAACAAAAAGGUUAAAUAGUUCGGAAAAAACUGAAAGUUUUCGGCAUCCAAGAUGCUUGGGCGGACUAGGAGUGUGCAAUAUUUCUAUGGUCCAUAUUUCUUUUUGCGACGAGCUCAUCGAAUGUCAUUUUGGAUUUAAACAAUGGGUCCAAAUCAUUGGAUGUGUAUUGAAGCAAACUAACGGUUAUUUUAGCUAUGUAAUCCAGUUAACCCCCCGUUCAAUUUUCUGUACUAGUGAUGUUUCAAGUUUCAUUGUGUACUUGUCACAAUUAGGACUGCCUUGAUGUGCGAUGUGAGAGUAAAAGAAAGAGGUUACUGCAGGUAUGAAGGCACACUACUAGUGUACAUGACAGUAAUGUGACCGGGGCACGCCACUGAUAACCAAUUUCCACCCGCCACUGAUGACGAUUUCCGCGGGGAUGGUUGCCUGAACAUGUCGCAUGUCUUUGUUUUUAUUUCUCCCUACCCGAGGCAGAACCUGCUACCUUUGCUCUGCCUGAUCAUUGGCUUCAUAACAGAAAAAUAGAGCCGAGAGUGAUCCUCCUGUUUCUCUAUGAAAGAUCAUGUUUACAGCUCGACACAAGUACAAUCCUUCUGGAUUACUACUGUGACUUUUGCGCCUUUGAUAAUGUAACAUAUACUCAGAAUUCCAAAGACAGAACUGAUCCCUGCAUCACUAAAUCGAGACAUGACAUCCGCAGGUUUCUUAUUCAAGUUAGUGGUAGAAGGAUAGCGCUUAAGAUGCUGCGACCGAUUAAUUCCAAGCUGAGAAAGUGUGAUGAACUGAUCUUCGGCAUAAAUAAAGGGAUCAUCCACUAGUUAAUCCCCAGAAGAAAAACAUGCCGUCUCCAUUCCAGAACGAUAUUUCUGCGUAGCCGUGCAGUGCUGCAAAUCAAACCAAAUUGAAUCUUGGCAUCUCCUUCUUUGGACUAGCUAGCUAGGAAAGCAAGCAUAUGUAAAAGUGAAGGCGUGUAGGCGUAUACAUCUAGGUAAGGACGCGUGCAUGUUAUAUAGAUCAAUAGGGUUGCAAUUGGCGGCAGGUUAUUUAGUAGGACAGACCCCUAAACCAAGCAAUACAAAGAUAAGGAUCAGCUCCAAAAACGCCUUCGUGUAAGCAUACGCACACACAUCACGUAGUAGUAUUAGCAUUGACCUUAAGUCAAGCUAUACAAAGAUAAGGAUCAUCUCUGACAACCUGCCUUGUAUACAACACACAAGCACAGCAUCACGUACAAGUUACAUAUGACACGUACACGUAUACAAAGCCUAUCAUUUGACAGCAUGCACCUGUCGAUCGCCUAUAAAUUCAUCUCCAGUUCGUUCAUCCUCUUCCAUAUCUCAACCCCUCUCGCUUGAUAGUACGUCUCAUCUAAGCCUCGUAUCCAUGGCGGCAAAGAUGGCGAAGAACGUGGACAAGCCGCUCUUCACGGCGACGUUCAACGUCCAGGCCAGCUCUGCCGACUACGUCACCUUCAUCAACGGCAUCCGCAACAAGCUCCGCAACCCGGGGCACUCCUCCCACAACCGCCCCGUGCUGCCGCCGAUCGAGCCCAACGUCCCGCCGAGCAGGUGGUUCCACAUCGUGCUCAAGACAUCGCCGGCAAGCACCGGGCUCACGCUCGCCACCCGCGCCGACAACCUCUACUGGGAGGGCUUCAAGAGCAGCGACGGCACCUGGUGGGAGCUCACCCCCGGACUCAUCCCCGGCGCCACCCACGUUGGGUUCGGCGGCACGUAUCGCGACCUCCUCGGCGACACCGACAAGCUGACCAACGUCGCUCUCGGCCGGCAGCAGAUGGCGGACGCGGUGACCGCGCUCUACGGGCGCACCAAGGCCGACAAGACCUCCGGCCCGAAGCAGCAGCAGGCGAGGGAGGCGGUGACGACACUGCUCCUCAUGGUGCACGAGGCCACGCGGUUCCAGACCGUGUCGGGGUUCGUGGCUGGAGUGCUGCACCCCAAGGAGAAGAAGAGCGGGAAGAUCGGCAAUGAGAUGAAGGCCCAGGUGAACGGAUGGCAGGACCUGUCCGAAGCGCUGCUGAAGACGGACGCGAAGCCCCCGCCGGGAAAGGCGCCAGCGAAGUUCACGCCGAUCGAGAAGAUGGGCGUGAGGACGGCGGAGCAGGCGGCCGCCACCCUGGGGAUCCUGCUGUUCGUCCAGGUGCCCGGUGGGAUGAUGGUGGCCCAGGCGCUGGAGCUGUUUCAUAAGAGUGGGGGGAAAUAGGUAGUAGUUGUGCAGGUAUAUCUGCAUGGGUAUUGUACAAGUCGAAUAAACAUGUCACAGAGUGACUGAAUGAUAUAAAUAAAUAAAUGUCACAGAGUCAGUGAAUGAUAUGAAUAAAUAAACAUGUCUAGUUUAUAUUGGGUCCAACCAUAGAAUUGCUAUCCAACAUAUGUUUUGCAUAUGCACAUAUCAGAAGCGCGAACUAUGUUCAUCCUUUUAGACUCCCAGGGGCUCAUUUGGUUGUUGGGGUGAAAAAACCAUGGGCAGUAAACUCCCCCAGGGGAUUUCCCUGGUCAUAUGAGAUCCUCCUCCUGCCAUGUGAAAUAACCCAUUGCCAUUUGGGCACCAAGGGAGAGUGAAGAGAGUGAAGGGAGAAGAGCAGAAGAACAGAGCGCCAAGGCGACUCAGAUCAUAAGAAAAGAGACGAGGGGAGCCCGGGAGAAUUCUCCUGGAGUGCGGAGGUCGGAGCGAGCGGCCCGGGGAUUUCGGGAGGAUCGGGCUGAGAAAGCCCUUUCCACGAUGUUACCAAAUGGAUCGCCUGAAAAUCCGGGGUGUAGAUUGCAGGCGGGUUUCUCGCCCGAGGAAAGGACAGGUAUCCUGGCAGCAAUGCUACAUUCACGGACUAAUACGGGGGGUUUACGAAGUGUUUGUGACUUGUUAGAUGUUGAUUGGAUUAAGGGGGAGGAAGAGGCCCCACCCACCUGAAAAUCAGAAGGGUGAAAAAGAAUUAGAAGGAAGGGUCCGUAAUGCCCCCGUAAUGAGCCUGUGCGUUUAGCAUUUUUGGUAUCCCGGGGGAUCCAUGGUAACCAACUAGUGUACCACAAAUUCCCCUCCAGAAAAUCUACAUAUUUUAGUACUUUUUGGCCAGAAAAUUCUCACACUUACAUACACGGUUAUAUUGUUUUUCUUUAUUUAAAAGGGAGGAAAGCCCCACAUAAUGAUGCAUGCAGCCAAUUUAUUAACCAAAAGUAUGCAAACGGAGUCUAAGGGCCAGUACUGGCUCACAAAAGGAGCACAAGAACAGUAAUGAUAAAAAGAUGCCACAGCCGGCGAAAAAACAAGUUAAGAUGACUAAACACCUAGCCUAUUAUUAGUUCGCCAUUUAAAUUGGUUGGAGAUAACCCGUGCUACCGUCUCCCAAUGGUUGCACCCAGUAACCAAAAGCCCCCUAGAGUCCGCAUGAGUGAGUAACGACCACGUACGGAUCCAAGCAGUGGCUAUGUGGAUAACCUGCAAAAGUUGAUAAAGUUUUUUCCAUUAAAGAUCAUAUCACCUUUGCAGUUUCAUAUAGCCCAAAACAAUGCACAUAUCCCUAUCCGAAUAUGUCCUGCAAUAUUUGAAUCCGCUCCAUUUAGCCAUGUCCCAAAUAACGUGUUACUAAUUGAAGGAUUAAUGUUGAAGUCUAUAUGUAUCGUACGCCAUACAAGUUUGGCUUAUAUUGUGCCAUUUCAAUAUUUUAUUUGUCGAUUUUAUGUUUAUAUACAGUUGGUAUUCAUUGAAUAGGUGGAUUUCCUGGGAGAGAAGGUGCAAAGCUUCAAGGCCAGACCCCACAAGGAGUUGAUGACUCAGUAUAGCAACCCUGACGAGAUUGGGACAGUACCCCGCCGGAGACAGGGACAACGCGGUUGUUCUAGUGCCACUGGUUCCUGCGAGGGCGAGGGUUCACAUGUUUGGGGUGCUUUUUUACAAUCCACAUGUUUGGAGGUGUUAAGGGCAUCUCCAACCACAACCCAUAAAAUUUCUCCUGCAUUCGUCUGGGACAGGGGGAAGGGGCAGUCCGUGGACAUGGAUGCAAGAGGGGGCCAUCCAACGCUGCCCGAAGACAUUUCAACCCGCAUUUCAACUAGCUGGACGAAAUUCAUGUACACCGGCUCCAGGGUGGACAGCGCUGUCAUAAAGGCCAGUGGGCGUGUCGGUGCUGGUUGCGGACGUCCGGCAAUGCCACUGUGGCGGCCCUAGACGUACAACGGCAGCAGCAGAGGUGGAGCGUGCAGAUGCAAAGCAAGGGGGAGAAGGGUGCGGAGUGGAAGGAAAUGAAACCGAGAGGGUGAUUGGGUGGGCCGGGGGUGUCGGUUUCCUACAUGGCUGCUGCUGGUUUGAACUUUUUUUAUUAACUUGAACAAAAAUAUCUGUAUUUCGAAAAAUGUUGACGAAUUUGAAAAAUGUUUCUGGAUUUUAGAAAUUGUUCAUUAAUUUGAAAAAAGUGAUCACAAGUUUGAAAAAAUGUUUCCUCAUUUUUGAAAAUGUUCCUGAAUUUCACAAAAUGUCCCUGCAUUUUAGAGAAUGUUCAAAAAAUUAAAAUAUGGGGCAUAUUCCUUUUAUGCUUUUACUCCUACAUUUUAUACGAAAUUGUAAAAAAUGUUAAAAAAAUAGAGAAAAGAAAAAAGGAAAGAAAAAUAAAAUGGGAAGCUUAUAGAAAAAACAUAAAAGGAAAAAAAAGGGUCUAUGAAGGUUCUAGUACUUUUCUAUAAACGGGGAACACACUAAAAACCUCGAACUGGGCUGGCACAAUAUAGUGCCUACAAUUGCGUGAGGGUGUGCCUUUGCUCGCUAACUGUUGACCUAUGCUGGGAUUCAGAAUUAUCGUCUUUAUCUUGCCUCUAGUGAGAUUUUUUUUCUUGAGAAUUCUCGCCCAACUUCAUUGGUGAAUCAAAAUGUUCUAGUGAGAUGGAAGAAAAACUCGUCACAAGGGAGUUCAUGGCGGCCGGCCAGUCCGGAGUUGUUGGUUUGGUUCAUUCAUUCCUUUUAUUCAUUUGGUUUCGUCUUUUUACUUUUACUUUUUUCCUUACUUAUUUUUAUUUAUUUUUGAAAAUAUUUGACUUAAUUUCAAAAAAAUCACUGUGCAUUACAAGUUAUGGAGGUGAUGUGGAAGGUACUCGACCAAUUCAUCGCCUGAAGAUGAAGGAACUCAAGUGCAAUAUAGCCGCGGAGCAGGCGCUCCAUGUUAUCCUUUGGGAUGCGGACGACAACGAGUUCGAGGUGCUUCAGUCGUGGUAGAAAAAGAGCGGGCGCGUCAUUAAGGGGAUGGCAGUUGGUGAACUUGGCGAGGCGCACCGUGGGUGCGAAGCGGAGCACGGAUGUUGGCAGCGAGUGCAUAUGCCCAUUAUUAAAAAUGAGCUUCUCGAGCUGAUCUAUGGCGGGGGAUCGUAAUCACUCGUCAAGCUUGGCUCGGUCCUUCCCAUUGGAACGGAACUUGCCCGUGAUAAGGUCUCUGAUUGGGCCAUGGUGACUGCCGAGGAUCGAGGAGAAUGCAUCCAAGCUUUUGCGAUAGCCAUGGCAGAGCUCGUCAGCGUCGAGGUGGUCGACAGGGGUGAGGAGCCUUAGGGGCGCCACCGCCAGGAAAGGGCGGCUGUCCUUGCCCCAUAUUUGAUUGGGGGGAGGAAUAUGAUGACUCUCAACAUAUCAUCGGGGAUGUUUUUGAUGAAGUCUAGGUCUACUGGAGUCGCUUGCGGUUCUUUCUCGACCCGCCUCCGCUUGUUGGCAGCCUCGUUCUCCACCUCGGCGGCGGCGACGGAAACCUCUAUCUCCAUAUUCACGCCAUGCUCCAGUGCACAUUGAGGACUGAGAGCGGCGUCGAGGAUGCGGGUGGAGAGAGAGGAUUGUGUGUGUGGCAAGGAUGGGGGGUGCGGCCGCUCGGGCGCGCCAUUAAUACAGACCAGUGGGAGCGAGCCGGGUGGCAGUCAAAGGUUGUCUCGCUUCCUGAUGAGCCUGCGCGGCGGACUUCUAGCAUUCCUAUACCAUCAUUUCACAGAGCGAGGCGGACGCGCCAUUAAUAUGGAGGAGUGGGAGCAAGGUGGGCGGCGGUCAAAGGGCUGGCUCGCCUCCCAGUGAGCCUGCGUGGCGAACUACUGGCACGCCUACCGUCGUUUCACACAACUACUAGCACGCCCCAUACGGUGAGUGCGUACCAAACACGCGCAUGAAUUAGAUAGUGGUAGUGAUUUUAGUUGUAAAAAUUAGAUAGUGCUAGUGAUUUUUAGCUGCAUAUUUUGACAAAUCACAUUGUCUCUUGGCUUAGCGCCGAAGUCUGGCUUUAAUUUGCAUACCAUAUUCAAUCUGAACCGUUUGUGUUGAAGAGAUGCACAAAUCCUGUGUUAAACAGCUCGCACGCUUCCCGGUGAGCCUCUCGGUCAGCCUACGCACCGGACUGCACUCGCACGCCUCCCGUUCAGUCAAGCAGCUGUCCGCACGGCACCUCCUGUAGCCAUUAAAACCAAGACAUGUGGCAUCAUGUAAAUGCUUAAGAGAACGCACACGAUUUGAAUUAUACAAACGUUUGAGAUAUUAAAGUGGCAGCUAUUUGUUUCAAAAUGCCUUUGUUGGCUGUUAUUCGAGUGCAUCUUCUCUCAAAAUGGACACCAAAAACACCACAGCAUGUCAGUGCCAUUACAUGAUAGUAUGCCAAGUUCCAUGAAUUUCAGACGAGUUUUGGAUUUAGUAGAAUUUAGAAACAAAGUAUCUCAAUGUUUUGCCGGCAAUCAACGGUGCCCUGGUGUUUGAAAUUCAUUCCCAUUUCUUCCAUGAGACCUAAGCAUGCACCCAAGGACACAGAUUUGAUUUUUCAACCAAUUUAUAUGCAUUGAAGCAUGUGCAUGUAGUUCAAACUUGAAUUAUGCACAUAAAUGCAUUGAACACUCAAUUAAUGCAUAAAAAUGUCCAAACGAACCCCGAAAAUCCCAAAAAUUGACACAACACUCCUGUUGUUCUCUGUUGAGACUAGAAAAUUUUUGAAAGCAAUAAGAGGCAGCAGAUAUUGUUUCGUCCCCUAAGGUGGGACGUUCCCUACCGAAACCAUCAGGCUUGUUGUGAGAAGCUCUGGUUUGUGAGAAGCUUAUACCCAAACCUGCCCUAAAUGGGACAAAAAAAUUACCACUGCAUGUUGAUGCCGCUCCAUGAUAGCAUGCCAAGUUUCAUGAAUUUCAUAUGAGUUUUGGAUUUACUAGAAUUUAAAAACAAGGAAUCUCAAUGUCUGCAGCCGAGUGACGGUGGCAGGGUGUUUGACAUUCGUUCCCAUUUCCUGCAUGAGACCUAAGCAUGCAACCAAGGACACAUAUUUGAAUUUUCAACCAAUUUAUAUGCGUUAGAGCAUGUGCCUAUAGUUCAAAUUUGAAUUAUGCACAUGAAUGCAUAGAAAACUCGGUUAAUGCAUAAAAAUGUCCAAACAAACCCCGAAAAUCCCAAGAAUUGACACAACACUCGUGUUGUUCUAUGUUGACACUAGAAAUUUUUUGAAAGCAAUAAGAGGCAGCGGAUACCGUUUCAUCCCCAAAGGUGGGACGUUCCCUACCGAAACCAUCAGGCUUGUUGUGAGAAGCUCUGAUUUGUGAGAAGCAUAUCUCCAAACCGGCCCCAAAUGGGACAAAAAUAUUACCACGACAUGUUGUUGCCGCUCCAUGAUAGCAUGCCAAGUUUCAUGAAUUUCAGACGAGUUUUGCAUUUACUAGAAUCUAAAAACUAGGUAUCUCAAAGUUUGCGGCCGAGUGACGGUGGCAGGGUGUUUGAUAUUCAUUCCCAUUUCUUGCAUGGGACCUAAUUAAGCAUGCAACCAAGGACAUAAAUUUGGAUUUUCAACCAAUUUAUAUGCAUUAGAGCAUGUGCGUGUAGUUCACAUUUGAAAUAUGCACAUGAACACAUAGAAUCAGUUAAUGUAUAAAAAUGUCCAUGCGAACACCCAAAAAUCCCAAAAAUUGACACAAACACUCCUGUUGUUCUAUGUUGACACUAGGAAAAAAAGUUGAAAUCAAGAAGAGGCAAUGGAUUUCGUUUUGUCCAGAAAGGUGAAACAUUCCCUACCAAAACCAUCGGGCUUGUUGUGAGAAGCAUAUCUCUAAACCUGCCCCAAAUGGGACAAAAAAAUUACCACAACAUGUUGAUGCCGCUCCAUGACAGCAUGCCAAGUUUCAUGAAUUUUAGACGAGCUUUGGAUUCACUAAAAUUUAAAAACCAGGUAUCUCAAUGUUUGCGACUGACUGACGGUGGCAGGGUGUUUGACAUUUGUUCCCAUUUCUUGCAUGGGACCUAAUAAGCAUGCAACCAAGGACACAGAUUUGAAUUUCCAACUAAUUUAUAUGCAUUAGAGCAUGUGCAUGUAGUUCAAAUUUGAAUUAUGCACAUGAAUGCAUAGAAAACUCAGUUAAUGUAUAAAAAUGUCCAAGCGAACCCCCAAAAAUCCCAAAAAUUGACACAACACUCCUGUUGUUCUAUGUUGACAAUAGGAAAAAAAAUAAAAUUGAGAAGAGGCAAUGGAUAUCGUUUCAUCCAGAAAGGUGAAACGUUCCCUACCGAAACCAUCGGGCUUGUUGUGAGAAGCUCUGGUUUGUGAGAAGCAUAUCCCCAAACCUGCCCCAAAUGGGAUAAAAAAUUUACCACGGCAUGUUGAUGCCGCUCCAUUACAGCAUGCCAAGUUUCAUGGAUUUUAGACGAACUUUGGAUUUACUAGAAUUUAAAAAACCAGGUAUCUCAAUGUUUGCGUCCGAGUGACGGUGGUAGGGUGUUUGACAUUCGUUCCCAUUUCUUGCAUGGGACCUAAUAAGCAUGCAACCAAGGACACAUAUUUGAAUUUUCAACUAAUUUAUAUGCAUUAGAGCAUGUGCAUGUAGUUCAGAUUUGAAUUAUGCACAUGAAUGCAUAGAAAACUCAGUUAAUGUAUAAAAAUGUCCAAGCGAACCCCGAAAAAUUCCAAAAAUUGACACAACACUCCUGUUGUUCUAUGUUGACACUAAGAAAAAAAUUUGAAAUCAAGAAGAUGCAACGGAUAUCAUUUCGUCCAGAAAGGUGAAACGUUCCCUACCGAAACCAUCAUACUUUUUGUGAGAGAAGCUAUGGUUUGCGAGAAGCUUAUACCAUAACCUGGCCUAAAUGGGACAAUAUUUUUUUACCCCAGCAUCUUGAUGUUGUUCCAUGAUAGCAUGCCAAGGUUCAUGAAUUUCAGACGAGUUUUCUAUUUACUAGAAUUACAAAAGCAAGCACCUCAACAUUUGCCGGAGACCCACGGUGCCGUGGUGUUUGAAAUUCAUCCCCAUUUCUUGAAUGGGACGUAAGCAUCAACCCAAGGAAACAUAUAUCAUUUUCCAACUCAUUUUGGUGCACCGGAGCAUGUGCAUGUGGUUUCAUUUUGAAUUGUGCACCUGAAAUGCCUAGAAAACCAAGUUACCGUAUAAAAAUGUCCAAACGAACCCUGAAUAAUUCCAAAUUUUUUGACGACGCACCUAUAGUUGCAUGUUCACUACAGAUAGAAGUUCUCGCAAAUCAAACACCAUCCUUUGGAGCUGUGACCCCAUUAUGUAAUUUAAAUCAAGAUGAAAAAAUCAAGAAGAUCUCACACAGUUUAUUAUCACCAACUGUGUGAGAUGCAGUACAAAAUAUCCUGGAGCACCGUUGGUGUAUAGUACACCUAUGGCUUACUCGAGAAGGUUCGUUGGCUACAGUCCACAGCCCGCUCUGAAUAAGGGGCCAUGUCUGAUGACACUUUGCGCGCCAGUUUUUUCGCUGAAGCGAUUCCAAAUUUUCGGCUUCCGCGGAAAUAUCUACCUCCCCGCCCCCUCCACCUUACCAAAAGCCAUAUUUCCCCUAUUUCCUCCUUCCUUUCGAAGUUGAAACAUUCACUCCUUAGUUGCAGCGCCGCCUCCUCGCCGACGACCCUCCUUCAUGCUGCUCGGCCUCGCCUAUCCAGGCAGGUAAUCCAGACCCGAACCCCAUCCACCUCCUCCUUCCACAUCCCACAUGCCUCGACCGUCGGCGCGAGCGCGACACCUUCCACCAAAAUCACCGACCCCUCCACCAAAUAAGUGUCGUCCUAAGCCAUGGUGUAUGCAGUAUAGCCAGCAUCUCAAGGAGCAUUUGGCAGCGGACAAGCAAAGCACGACCGCACGCGCGGAUGAGGUCGUGAUGGCUGCCAUUCGUGCCAACCCCCAGAUCUUGGAGGAGCACCUCGUCGUCAAGGCCACCAUCAACGCCUCGCACACCGACGUCGUGGCGCGGCUGGCUGCUUUGAACGACAGUUCAUGGCGUUUUCUCGAGGCCACCGUCGGUGCCUUUGACGAAGACUACCAGGUGUUUUCUCGGCGUGCACGUGCUUACCUCAUCUCGAGAGCUAGCAGGUUGGUUCCCGGAGCGGCUCAGGCAACUCACCACUACAACGAGGGCACCCACGAUGCGGAGGACUCGCCCUCUUCCAUGUCCAAGGAGCCAAUCGUCAUUGAUAUCUCCGACAAUGAGUAGUUUGUCUUAUUAGCUCACUAUAAGGACCCAUGUUCACUUUGCUAGCUAUUGCCUUUCCUUAACAAAUUCUAGUGAAUUGUGCUAUCUAUUUUUACCAUGCAAUCUUCUGCUCUAGUGUAUAUGUUUUAUAUGUCAUGCAAUGUGGUGUCCAGUUAACUGUUUGGUUCAAUUCUGCAAAUGUGAUGUUCAAUUCUUUAGGAUGCAAUUUUCCAAGUUGUCAAGCAUGCUUGGUUUGGUUAACUAUUUGAUCUUCUAUUAGGAGUAUGUUAUAUUGUGCAUUAUGGUGCUCAGUUGACGUUUGGUUCAUUUGUUGUGGUGUUUAGUUAACUGUUUGGUUCAAUUCUUGAAUGCAAUGUUCAAUUAUUAUGUGUGCAUUCUGUUAUUGUAUACCAUGUGAGAAAUAAAUUGAAUUUGGCUGUUCUAAAUACAUGGGAAACAAAUACAGUUGCUAUAUUUACAAGUUGUUAAGCAUGCUUGGUUUGGUUAACUGUUUGAUCUUCUAUUAGGAGUAUGUUAUAUUAUGCAAUGUGGUGCUCAGUUAACAUUUGGUUCAUUUGUUGUGGUGUUUAGUUAACUGUUUGAUUCAAUUCUGCAAUGCGAUGUUCAAUUAUUGUGUGUGCAUUCUGUUAUUGUAUACCAUGUGAGAAAUCAAUCAAAUUUGGGUGUACUAAAUACAUGAGAAACAAAUACAAUUGCUAUAUUUCCAAGUUGUUAAGCAUGCCUGGUUUGGUUAACUAUCCGAUCUUCUAUUAGGAGUAUGUUAUAUUUGUGCAAUGUGGUGCUCGGUUAACGGUUGGUUCCUUUGUUGUGGUGUUUAGUUAACUGCUUGGUUUAAUUCGGCAAUGCGAUGUUCAAUUGUUGUGGCUGCAUUCUGUUAUUGUAUGCUAUUAUAUCUUGUCUUUUUUAUUCCUUUGCCCCAUUUCUAGUAUAGAGAAGAUAUUUAUGUACAUCCUUGUUUUCAGGCCUUUCCAAAACAGUUCACUGAUGAUUACCUCUCAAACCACCUGUAUGGACGGUCAAUCAUCCACAGGCGCUGGCCUAAAGUUGCAAAGACCUUCAACACCAAUGAAGGCUCAAUAUUCGCCUUCCGCUUCCGCAGUUUUCCCGAUGAGAUGCAUUUGUCUAUGUACCGUCUAUGAUGCUAAUUUUGAAAGGUUCUAGAUGUUGCAUGUGAAACUUGGUGCUGGUGCUGUUGUGUAACGGGGUAGCUGAGUGCUGAAGUUAUAUCAUGUUGUACUCUAAUGUAUUUCAAUUAUGAAAUCAUGCUUCCUUAAUAUGGGAAUGAAAUAUAAUAUGUGUUUAAUAUGAAUGUCAAUUAGAUUAAUAAAUGGAUUAUUAAUAAUAAGGAAAUUAGCCUGCUAAUUGGUUUUUGCUAUUGCAAACAGUUAUUGAGAAAAUACCGUGGGCGAUGACCUAAGGCAACGCACACAGUUUCUAGCAAUAAACCAUGUUGGAUCGAUGAGCAAUCACACACAACAUUCUCUUCAAAACUGUUUGCGUUAGGCCACCUUGAGCAAACGUUUACCACAUAAAAGCUGUUUGUGAUGGAUAGCAUUUGCCACACAGUUUAUUAUACGCACCAUGUGUGAUGCAUUCAUGGCAAACGAUAAAAUUAUUAGUAUUGUGUGCGAUGGGAAGGCCAUCACAAACGAUUUAACGGGGGAAAUUGUGUGUGAUGUACCUACGAACGGAAACGUUUUCCUUGCAGCGACUAUGUGGGAUAUAUACACGAACGAAAACGUUUCGCGGGGACUGACCGUGUGCGAUGAAAUUACAACCGGAAAUGAUUUUGCCUGUAUAAUUGUAUUUUUAGAACUACUAUACGUAUAACCGUAUUUGCUCGCUCGCCAAUCGCACACGACCUCAAUUUGCCGAGCGUGUGUGCCAGGAGGGCAUAUCCCCGACGAUUUCUGGGUCGUGUGGGAAGGACCCCCCUAUCGCCCACACUCACUAAUUGACGGUUCUGAAUGCCGUCGAGGAAAGGGGUUACAAACCAUUUGUAUAGCACCGACACGUACCAGUGUUACCUUUCCUUUCUUUGGGUGAAUUAGUGUCUGUUGGGCUAGUUGCCUGAACCUGUCGUGUGUCGUUGUUUUUAUUUCUCUAUACCGGAACCGAUAAAUCGCGAGUGGACAUGCCACCACGCGCGUCCAAAAUCCACACCGCACGCUGCAGCGGUAUGCGUGUAGCUUUAAUACCCUCUGGCCGUAUAAAGAAUUUGCCUCGUCGUAUAGCAUUCCGUAUAGCGUGUGUAUUUUCACCUGACACAUGCAGUGCAUGGCCCGCGAGGCAGCGCGUGCAUUAAUCCCACACCCAGCAGCCCAACGACAAUAAUUCAACUAUCUGGCAGCCCAUAUGCGGGCAACGUAUCUGGUGAUACCGCAACUCAAGUGAUGCAAUGCUCUGAUGGAUCAUGGGUCUUUCGAUUAUGUUGGAAGGGACGCGAUGAAGGCACACGUGAUGAGCAGCCUCUCCAUCGCAGAAUAUACAAAAACACUCUGAUUCAUGUUAUUAAUUAAGCAUCAGGCCCUUUUCCUAGUAGUACUGUACUUGUUUAUGAGCCUCAGUUUCACUUACGGGUAGAAAAAAGGCUUAGUUUCAUUGCCCAGACACAAAAACUUAAACCUGGUUUUCGCUCAUGUCUUGCUAUUGUGCAAUCCCCAUAUGAAAUUAUGCCAUCUUCGUAUUUUGCUUUUAUACUGCUAAAAGUUCAACAAAAUAAAUCUAGUAAUGUUUUGGUUACUUUGCCCGUGAAACACUAAUAGUAGUCUGGCAUGUCUAGUCCGUAAAUUUGCACAUAAUGUCAAUUAUGAUAAUCCACAAAGAGUACUAUUAUAAACGAACAUUUUCGCUGUUGGUCUUCACAUAUUCCAUGUGCCUUUCUAGCUUGUACAAUCUGAAACCAGUUGGACAACUGACCUAGUACAUGCUAUAUUUGCUGUCACGGAAGCUAACUGAGUUUUUUGUACAGAAUGUACAAGCAAGCAUUUCCAGCUAUCUUAAUGAGGAACUGAAUCUAAUUGAGUGAAUGUUGUGGUUAAUUAAAAUGCACAGCUUUUUUUCUAAGUUGACACCUACAGGUUAGAAUGUGUAUAUGGUUUUUACCAGUAGAGGGUGUCACUUUUUUUCUUGUGAUAACAAGGUUACGUGCAUCAUUUCACGCAUGCUCCUGCUAAAUAAACAAUGGGCAAAAUUAAGGAAAUCCGAAAAUCCUCAUCUUCCCAUUCCCUUGGGCUUAAUUAAGUAUAGAAUCCAGAGUGCUUUUGGUAUAUUGUGCGGUGGAGGAGCUGGUCAUCACCCUUGCAUUUAUCAUGUCCCUCUGAAUAUGAUCUAGCGGUUCAAGAUUCAUUCGAGCAUUGUAGCUCCUGAGAUCCCGUAUUACUAGAUAUGUCCUCCCCACAUGCGAUGCACAUAUUAAAGACACAACAGAGGAGUGAAUACGCUCGGCUACCCCUGCGAAAUGUAAAUGCACCCAACAAUCCAUUGAUGAUCCGUCAACGCAACGGCCUCCUAGCUGCGUCUCUCGCGACAAAAAAUUCGGAGAGAUGCUUACGGGCGUGCCACAGCUAGAAGACGACGACGACAGCGAUGGAUUUUUCCUACUUGCUAAACGCGAGAGAAGCGUGUAGUGGGUGUGUUGUGCAACCGAUGCCGCUCUCCGUCUGUGCAGAGCUUAUCUUCACACCUUGCUCUGUUCGUCCAUGGUUGAAGGAAAGACGAGAUACGCACUGCGAGAACCGAACUUGGGCAACAAAUCAAUUAUGUCCACCCAACGCCCAAAGCAAUUAUUGGAUCGGUUGGAUGUCGCCUGGCCCGUGUAUUCAUAGAACAUUAAAUGCAGCCCUAUCCCACACCGUGGGCGUAUAAAUUGAGCUAUUUGGGAAGCUGCUAAUUAAGCUGCCCCGUAUUCCCAGAUGGCUUAUUAAAAGUAGUCAUCACGACGCACAGGCGGACGUCCUGAAUAUGGGCUGCGCGUGGCCGCAUGUCCCAAAAAUCCGCGUCGGUACCGGAACCUGCUACCUUGGCCUCACUGAUAAUAUGCCUCAUAAUAGAAACUGGAGCCGGGAUUGAUCGCCUAUUUUUCUAUAAAACGAUUAUGCUUGCAGCUUGACACUGAGUACUAUCCUUCCCAAUCACCGCCAUGACUUUUGUGCCUUUGAUCAUGUAGCAUGUAGUAACAUGUACUCAGAAGUCAAAAGACAGAGCUGGUCCAAGUUAGCAUUAAGGACAUGUACAAUGAUUGAUAAAAUAAUUUUAUUUUAAAUUUUACAUGUAAUUUAAAAAUGACAAAAAAAUGUCUACAAUGAGCCAUCUUUUAGUCUUAUUCUCAAUAACUAGCCAUUCCUAAAAAUAUGGUGAGACAUAUUGUGCUAAGAGAUCAUCUCUUGUCUUUUCUUAAAUAAAAAAAGACAAGUCUUUUCUUAUGAGUUCUCUCUUCCACUCAUCAUUUGUCCUACAUGACACUUCUAAGAUAUCAUUAUUGUACAUGCCCUAAUAAAUCUCGAGCUGCAGAUUUCCUAUUCAAGUUAACAGCCAUGGUUUGGUCAGUGGCCUCCCUCGGUAGAACUAGAAGCAUCGAGUUCGAGAUACUGCGAGAUGCUGCGACCCAUUCCAAGCAGAGAAAGUGCGAGGAAUCGUUCUUCGCCACAAAAAGGGCAUCCACUAUCUAGUAAUUCCCCGAAGAAAAUCAAACCAAAUUGCUCUUGGACUUGAUAGCUAACAACGCAUGCGCUCGCCUAUAAAUUGAUCGCCAAUUCACUCAUCCUCUCCCAUAUCUCACCCCACCCCCUCCCCUCCCCUCGCUACUAUAUCUAUCCAUGGCGGCGACACCGGUGAUGCCGGCGAAGAGCGUGGACAAGCCGCUCUUCACCGAGACGUUCAAUGUCCCGGCCAGCUCCGCCGACUACGUCACCUUCAUCAACGGCGUCCGCAACAAGCUCGGUAACCCGGGCCACUUCUCCCACAACCGCCCCGUGCUGCCGCCGGUCGAGCCCAACGUCGCGCCGAGCAGGUGGUUCCACAUCGUGCUCAAGACCUCGCCGGCUAGCACUGGGCUCACGCUCGCCACCCGCGCCGACAACCUCUACUGGGAGGGCUUCAAGAGCAGCGACGACACGUGGUGGGAGCUUACCCCGGGCCUCAUCCCCGGCGCCACCUACCUCGGGUUCGGCGGCACCUACCGCGACCUCCUCGGCUACACUGACAAGCUGACCAACGUAGCUCUCGGCCGGCAGCAGAUGGCCGACGCGGUGACCGCGCUCUACGGGCAUACCAAGGCCGACAAGACCUCUGGCCCGAAGCAGCAGCAGGCGAGGGAGGCGGUGACGACGCUGCUCCUCAUGGUGCACGAGGCCACGCGGUUCCAGACCGUGUCGGGGUUCGUGGCCGGC